CAUUAUUCAAGUUCUCUAAUUUCUAGUUGCACUGGAGGAUUCUCAAAUCCUCUUAAAAACUUGUGUAAACAAAUAGAACGAUUUGUGUUCAACAAAAAAUAAAAUAAAAAGAACGACAACAACCAUUGCGCAGCGCAAGAUUCACUUAGUAAAGAGAAGAGAGUAAAGCUAUGAAUCUAAACCAAGUGGCUCCCACUGAGGAACUCUCUUGGUAAAGAACCUCCAAUAACUCUGGAAUCAAGAAUCUGAAGAGCUCCUCCAGAUUUAACACAUCUUGGUGUCUUGUACUGAUUCACUGAAGAUCCUUGUGAGAUGCUAAAGUCCAUUAAGGCAUCAAAAGUACCCAAACUCACCACUCUUAUCUCCAAAGCCCCUAUUGAUCUAUCUUUGUUCCUGCACCUCCUGUACACGUAAUCCAGACAAUCCUCCACCUCAGAGCAACAGUCCUCCAUCAUCUUCUUGUCUAGCUUUGGUGGGUCAUUGUCGUAACGUGGCUUCAGCUCCCAGAAGAGCACGUAAUGCCCUGGGAUUGAUGACGUGUCCGCAUAGCUCGUGUACUCGGUGAGCAAGAAGAGACCUUGGAGAUGGUUGAGUUUGGCUUGUGUCACUGCCUUCAUGAGAUCUUCUUAGCUGGUUUUGUCUGUGUCGAUGCUUAACACAACGUUUCUUCGCUCCACGAAACUGAAUUGGGGUGCCUUGUUGUGGAAACCUGUCACCUUUAGGAUAUCUCCAACUCUGUAUCUGUAUAAACCUGUUUAGGAAAGAUCCCAAGGCUACUUGUGUCACACGUUACUCUCAUUACGUGAAAUAAUUAGGGGUGGACAUUUAGACACCCAAAUAAACUGAACGUGAAAACUUAAAUCAUUUUCAAAAUUAGUUUUAUUUCAAAAAAUAUAACAAAUAUUCUUAGUACAACGUUUAGGUGAAUCCUUGCUAAACCUUCUCUUAUAUCAAACUGUAAUUAAUAUUUUUCCAAACACAUUAAGGUGUGUUGAAAAUAAAACAUUGCUCCAUAUUAUAGAUUUAUAUAUUUAUUUAAAAUAUAUAAAAAAUACAUUUAAUUUUACCAACCAGAUGUAAUAUUAAUCAAAAUAACAUUAAUGUGUUUAUUUAUGUUUCUACUAUGUUUUUAAAAAUGAAUUUAAUACGAACUGAGCCAAAUGCAAAUUGUUGGUUUGGUGUACGUUUUUCAAACCCUAACUAAACCGGAACGAACCAAAAAUGUCAAGAGAUAACUGACCUGCGAAUGUUGUGAUGAUGAGUUCAUAGUACCGUCCAAUUUCCACACUGACAAGAUCGACAAUACGGUCUUUGUCCGUAAGGGAAACAUCAUCCGUAGAACGCGAUUCAAGUUGAGUCUCUUCAUGAGACUUAUCAUCAACAGGCAAGAACUCAAAGUAAGCCAUGUUAGGAAGAAGUGUGUAAGAAACAUCGGAUGGCUUACACAGAGGAUUGAUGUUGAGACCAAAGAAACACUCAGAGGAAGCAUACAUAACCGAAACCAAAGGCAAACCUCCGCUAUAAAACUCGAGUGUCGGAAUAUACUGAGCCAUCGAUCCGGUCACAAUCACCUCAAUAUACUUCGUCUUAGGCCAAAUCCUUUUCAAGAUUCCUUCCCGCGACUUCGCAUUGAACAAAGCCUCGAUCUCAUCAGCCAGUUCUUGGUUAGGACCGUUAAGGAUUGACAAAACCGAGUCUCUACAGCCCGAGUCAGUGAUCCAGCUAGCGACAGUACCGGUUCUAAUGUCAGCACACAGUUCGGUGAAAUGAUUCUCCAAGAACUUGACCGCUCGAAGAAAGGCGGAAGCGAAGAUAGCACCGAGUCUUAGGACAUCAGAUCGCUGGACUAAACCGCAAAGAAGCUGACAGUACAUGCUUUGCUGGCUGUCUUCACAAAGAAUGGCAUCGUUAGGGCUAGUGAUGACAUUGUACUUGUUGAAAGGCCUGUUCUUGAAUUGUUCACUUUUGUAGUAACUGGUUAACACAGGACGUGCCUGUAGACCAGAAGGAGUCUUGAUCUCUGGUUUUAUGAACAAAAGGUACAUUCCUUUUCCUUCAUCAAGCCCAUUCACAAACCUACAAAUGAACCCACAUUUAAUCCAUUAGAACUACAAUGUUUAUGAUUUUUGUAAGGAGAUUUGGUUUAAAUUGAGAAAGUAGUAAUAUUACUUAUUCAUGACGGGCACAAGCAUAUUGUAGAAAAAUGUCUUUCUAUCCAACUCUUCAGCUGUAGAAGGCAUAAAUUUUGGUUUUCCACCCGAAGUCCCCGAGCUGCAUCAUAUAUUUUAUCCAAUAACCAAGAACUUUAGAGAUUUCCCUAAUUUUAUAUAAAACAGAAAGUUUAUAAACUAAUACUCAAUAAAUUAAUAAACACCAUAAUUCGAUAAACAAUAAUAUAAUGAUAUUUAAUUAGAAAACUCUUAACUAAAUAUAUGGUCCCAUUAAAAUCAUAAACUAAUAAUUACCACAUAUAUAAAUUUUAUUAUAACAUAAACAAAGGAUUUUAUUUCUAAUUUGUAUUCAAAUGAAUUUCAUCUCUAAUUUUUAUUCAAUAUUUUGGUGUUAUUUUAUCUAAUUACAUAUUAACGAAUUUAGAGUCUAUCAUACAUUUUUAACAUACAUAAAAUGCAUCAAAUAUUCUAAUUAAAUUAUAAUUAAAAUAAAAUAUAUAAAGUUUAAAUAAUAUAUAUAUAUAUAUAUAAUAUAUUGUGAAAAAAAUUAUUUUUGUAUAUGAAAUAAUAAAAUAUCAUAGUCCUAAAAUUAUUAAUUUAUACAGUUUUUACUGUACAUGCUAAAUAGUUAUCUAAACUCUUUAAUGUGUGAUAAUUUUUAGUGUACCAUCCAUGAAAAUUUAUCGUAAUAGAAUAAUAUGUUAAGACAUUAAUAUUUUUUACCAGCAUGAAAUAUAUCAAGAGUAUAUUUGUAAGAAAAUGAUUGAUUAAUUAUUUAAAAAUUAAACCAAACAAGAAUAUUGCAUAUCUUUUUCAUAUACUUUUAAUUUAAUUAUAAAUAUUUUUUUUUCUACAUAAUCUUAUAAACAUCAUUUGACUCUGUAUUCUUAUAAAUACUAAAAUCAGUUCAUAAAGAAAUUAAAAUAAAAUUAUAGACCAAAAUUCUUUAUUUUUAUUUUAAAUAAAUAAAUAUUUAUAUGAGAUAUUGCCAUAAAUAAAUAAAUAUUUUAAAUAAUUUUUUUUUUGAAAAGAAAUAAAUAAAACAUAAUUUUAUUUAUUUAUUUAAACAUAAAAAAUAUUUUUUAUUUUUUAUUUAUUUAAAUAAUGAAUUAUUAUAAUAUAGAUAACAAAUGUAUAAGAAUCUUUUGUCAAUUAAUGAAGAAGAUAUUUUUAAAAUGUUUUUUUAUUGGUGGUAAAGAUGAAAAGUGAUAUCAUGAAAGUUGUAAACUUAAAAUUUCUCCUAUUUAUAUUCUUCGUAUAAUAUUAGGCCAAAUGAUAGUAUUCACCAUACAAAAAUUUAUAAAACGGGUUAAGUUUUUAAAUUAAGUACUAUUUUAUAUACAAUUUUCAUGAAUACCAUAAAUAAAAAUACAAUUUAUUUAUAAUAAUAUCUUUUAUGAAAAAUAAAAUAAAACUAAUCUCACAUUUUAGACGCGCGGAUCCCAAACUAUUAUCUAGUUAUAUAGGAAUGUAAUGUAAAACCACAUAACAAUAUCUAACCGUUCUUUGUGUUACAUUGUUAAUUAAAAUCAUGUAGAAAUAUAUAUGUAUAGACUUUUAGUUUAUUUUCAUUUGGUAUUUAUUUGCUAACAUGAUUUUUAAAUAUUGAAAAGCUUAAAUCUGUAAUAAAAAAGUACUCAAACAAAAAACUGACUUGUUAAAAUUAUUGUGAAAAACAUAUAUAUGGUGGUAAGAUGAAAAAAAAGAUUUGUAAAUAAUAAGUUUUUAUUUGUUCUAAGGUUUCAAGGAUAACAUAAUACUAGAUUUUGACCCGCACGCCCGUGCGGGUGUAUUUUAAAAAAAAAUGUUAUUUGCUUUUUAUGUCACUAUUUAGGGUUGGGCAAAAAACUCGAACUCGAAGAAUCGAACCGAUCCCAAUCCGAAUAAGUAGUACUAAAUCCGAACCGGAAUUGAUUAAAUAUCUCAAUUAUUCAAAAUUUUGGUAUUUGAAGAACUGAAACCUAAUCCGAUCCGAACCGAAGUAUUUUGGGUAUCCAAAAUAGAUUUAUAUACUUAUAUAUAUUAUUUAUUUUUAGAUUUAAUAUAUAUAAAAACAUCCAAAAUAUAUAUGAUAUUUUUAAGUUCGCAUAAAAGCUUGAAAAUAUAUACAAAUAAUCAAACGUAAAUAUCUUAAAUAGUUAAAAAAUACUCAAAACUCCAAAAAUACGUAAAUAAUUAUUAAUUCUCUAUCCAAAUAUUUAAACCAAACCUAUUUAAAUUGGUUAUCCAAUUCCGAACCAAAUCCUCAAAGAUCUGAACUGGACACGAAAUCCCAAAAAGGCCCGAAAACGAAUCCGAACGCCCACCCCUAAUCACUAUUGUAUAUAUAUAUAUAUCCUAUAUGUGUCAUCAUAGGUUACAAAAUAUGUGUUAUCAUAUAAUUAAUCGUAUUUUAUAUGUACCAUCAAAUAAGUUUUCUUAUAAUUAAUAAUAUUGUAUACGUACAAUCAUAUAAAUAACCACAUAUAUUAUAUUUUAAAAUUUAAUGUGAAAUAUAAAAACCAUAAUUUAAGUUGGUGUUUGAAAUUGGACUUUGUAUUGUAUUUUUAUUAUAUAUGUUGAAAACAUUUUUAUAAUAGUUAUUGGAAAAUAUGUUAGUAAAAAUCAAAUUUUGAAUAUAUGUUUACUUUUGAAUGAAUUUUUGAUAUAAAUCAAUUUUAAAUUAUUAUUUUGAUUUGAAUAUAUAUAUCAAGUAACAUAGACCCAUUAUUUUUUAAUAUAAUGUAAUGGACUUUUAAAUUUUUAGUAGCAUAAGCCCAUUAUUUUUUUUUCCUAACCUACUGCUAUCCAUGUUUCCAAACAGUACUAAUUUUUUAACUACUAUCCAUAUUACCAAACAAUCUUAAUGUGUACUUCAACUUUAAUAAUAUAGACUAGCUUUUGACCCGCGCGUCCGCGCGGAUGUAUGUUCGAUGUAAUUAUAUGUUUUGUUUAUUGUAAAAAUAUUCAUGUUAUUAUUUCAUAUGUUAUUAGUUGUGACAUUGGUGUAUCUUGUUUAUAUUGUUUAGUGUACAUUUUUAAGCUUUGAGGUUGUAUUGUUCUUAUAUUGUAAUUUUUUUUUUACUUGGUAAACUAAACAUAAAGUGUAUAAUAUUAGAACAUUUAUUUGAGAUUUAAUAGUUUUAUUAAAUAAGAAAAUCUAAAAUUUGUGAUUUAUAGCUUGUUUUAAAUUUUUUCUUAUAUAGCUUUACAAACAAUAAAAUCGCUAGCAAAUAUACAAACAAUUGGAAAAGUAACCCAAAAACAUAUAAAAAUAUGUAUAUCUCUAUUAAAUAUUUACAAAGCCUAAUUAGAUUAAUUGAUUUGCGCCAUUUUGUUAUGUUUUUAAAAUAUUUAUCAUUUGUAACCGAAUAAAUAGUGGACCUGAAUCACAAAUCAAAAUCUAUGUAAUUUUUUUUUUUUUGGGAAAUAAACAGAAACACGUCUGCCCUGCUACCAGCUGCAUUGAUUUGAACAUUUUUAAUUACUCCCCAUUUUUCAACUGGUAUAGCAUGCUGAACAUGGUACAUGUGUGUUCUUUUGCAACAGGCUUGGAUUUUGUUUCCCUACAAAACAAAACAGAGGAAAUAUUAGUUUAGCUUGUUAAAGCAGUCACCUGUUAUAACACAACAAAUGUUUAGAAAUAUUGGUUUACCCAUUAGUCUGUUAAUACCAUCUCAAAGGUAUCUCUAGAAGCGGUGUUCAUCUUGUAAGCACUUAACUUAAACUCGCUGAUUAUUUUUAUAAGGCCUGAGUUUUGUGAGAGCAUGAAAAGUAGUCAUAGUAGAUAUUUUCGGAGGAUUUGCGUUGAAUGAUAUGGUGUUUAGAUUAUUAGGAAAGAGGUAUAUAUAGCUAGUUAGGAAAGGUUAGAGUAAGUCAAUAUUAAUAUCUAAGAUUUUGUCAGUUGUGAAUUUUUAGUAUUAUAUAGCGAAUAUCCUAUACGAUUUUAUUCCAAGUUUGAUUCUUUGCUUAAAGUAAUAAACGAAUAUAAGUUGAGAAAAUUAAGAUAUUUUACGUGAACGGCAAGAUUAAGCACACAAAAAGAUUUUGUGGUAGUUGAUUGAUAUGAUAUUUGUUAUGAAUGCUUAAAUAUAUGAAUAGAUUAGUGGUGGGCUUUCGGGUACCCAUUCAGGUUUGGUUCGGGUCUAUUCGGGUUUCAGAUUUUCGGGGUCAAAGAUUUCAGCUCCAUUCGGGUAUUUCUAAGUUUUGGUUCGGGUUCGGUUUGGAUCUUUGGGGGUUUGGUUCGGAUUAAGAUAACCCAUUAAAAUUAUUUUUAAAAUUUUAAAAUUCAUUUUAUAAUUUAAAUUUCUCAAAAUAUACAAACAAAAUAAUAUAUCACAUAUAAAUUUGAAUAACAUAUAUCAAAAUACCUAAACUUAACAUAUAAUUUGAUUUGGUUUGAAUAUUUGGAUAAAUAAUCAAUAGAUAUUUCAAGUAUUUUUGGUGUUUUGGGUAUAUUUUAGCUAUUUUAUUCAUUUACCUUUGACUAUUUGUAUAUAUUUUCAAGUAUUUGAUCAAUUUAAAAAUAUCUUAUAUAUUUUGGAUGUUUUUAAUAGAAAUUAAAUCUAAAAUAUAUUUAUAUACGGGGUAUACAAAUCUAUUUUGGAUACAUUCGGGUACCCGAAAUACUUCGGUUUUGGUUCUUUAGAUACCAAAAUUUUGAAUCCGUUCAGAUAUUUAAUCAAUUUCGGUUAUGAUUCGAUUCGGUUCUUCGGAUUCAGAUUUUUUUUCCCACCUCUAGAAUAGAUAGUAGAGUAAAAAUUGUUUUCAUAAACAUUUUUUAGUUGUUCUGUGAGUAAGAAUUUGAUUCCACGCUAUAGGAAUGUUGUAUAUAUAUUGUUUGGUCGAGUCUAUAGGUUAAAAAAAUCUUGACUAAAUAUUAGUCAAACAUGAUUUACACAUUUUAAAAAGAAUAUAUACAUAUCUUAAAAUAUUUAAUAACAAUUCUUUUUAUUUUAAUAGUUAAUCAGUUAGGGUUGGUUAAGAUAAGAGAUUUAGAUCUUGUACUAUAAAAUAUCAUACAAUUAAGAUGUUUUUUAAAAAAGAAUUAUUAUAUUUAGUCAUACGUGAUUUCACGUUUUGGAAAUAGAAUAUACAAAUUUUGAAGUAACACUAAUAAAUGUAUUUUUACAUUUCCAUAUUUUAUUAGUUAAUAUUACCUUUUGAAUAGAAGGCAUUUGAAGUUUGAAAGGAAUAUAUAUGCCGAUUUUAUUUGUAAGAUUGAUAUAGAUUUGGUUAUUGUGAUAGCUUAAAAAUAGGAGUCCUCUUUGGAAUUUUUUUUUAUAUUAAGGUUCUACAAAAUUAAUGAUAUAGAUUGUGUGUGCAUCGAAAAAUCUGCUGAAUAUAACAUUCCAAAUUUAGUAUUUCAUAAAUGGUUCGGCUAAAUAAUAUUAAAAACGUGGUUACACAAACCAUAUGUAAGUAUGCAGUUUGGUAUGAAAAUCUUUUACAGACCACCAAAUACUGAUUAUAUACAUAUAAUAUUAAUUUUCUUGAUCAGAGUAUAUAAUUGAAGUACACGUUUGGUUAAGUAUUAGAUGAAAUAUAGUAGACUUAAUAUAUUAUAAUUUUAUGUUAUAGAUUUGACAAACAUGGUUCUUUAUAUUAGCAGUUUACGACUCUACAGCAUUGGAUAGAUUGAAUUUAUGACGGCAUUCAAAUUUCUAACCGAGUUAAGGUUGGUUAAGGAAACACGUGAUAUUUGGUUAAUUCAAUUAAUUGAAUUAAUGUUGAUUUGUAAUGUUGUUAAAUGAGUCAGUGGCAUGCAAUGGUAAUUAUUGUGGAAAAUUAAGGGUUAAGUACAUUUUGUACUUCAGUUUUAAUAGUUUAGAUGGUGGUGACAUAAGGAUAACAUCAUGUGUGUCAUUAAUAUCUUCUUUGUAUUUAUAUAGAUAACAUAUUCAGAAAGUCAUUUAAUUACCUUGUGAGAAGCUCAGUGAUGGGUUGAGCAGAGAGGAUAUCGGAUGAGUCUCCAUCAGAGAUUCGUUGGAUGAAGGGCUUUAUGUCUUCAUAAUUUACCACAGGGGCUUUGUUCUUGAAAUUUUCUUGAAUAUUGCAAGAUUCUCCAUCAAGAAACGACCUGAGAUAUUCGGUUUCUGAGUUUUGAGAGAGUAUUUGGUGGAGAACUUGUUGUUGAAUUGCAUCAGCAUUUGUGGUUAGAUCCUCAAGAAGCUGGAGACCAGCCUCUGUAUCGUUUGGAUCAUAACUUGGUAUCAUUUUGUUGUUGCAACUAUAAGUUUAAGAAAAAAGACUUUUUUUUUUAGUUGAGAGAUACUCUUCAAAGGUGGGGGUGUCCGAGCAGAGGGAGGCAAGAUAUGGCUUAUAUAGUAAAGUAGUGGAAAGAUUUUGGGAAAUGAUGAAUAUAAGAAUAUUUAAAUAAUUUCGAUUUUAGCUGUUAUAACAAGUAAAUUCGAAUUUGUUAUCCAAGAAAACAUGGAAGUAAGAAAAAAAUCUUUUAAAAUAAGGAAACAUAUACAUUAUUUGUUGAAAAAAACAAGGAAAUUAUCUUUUACAAUUACGAAAACAUGGAAGUAAGAAAAAAAAUCUUUUAAAAUAAGGAAACAUAUACAUUAUUUGUUGAAGGAAAAAAUAAGGAAUUUUUUCCAAUUUUUAGCAUUAUAUUUUUCAGUUUCUGAUCAGUUUUAAAUACACGUAAAUAUAUUUGUUUAUUCAGUUUUUCUUGAAACUUAUAUCUGAAACAAAUAUAUAUAUAUAUAUAUAUAUAUAUAUAUAUAUAUAUAUAUAUAUUAAAAAAAUUAUAUUGACAUAUUAGUGUACUAAUCAGAUUUUAAAUGAAAAUAUAAUAUAAUAUGCUCAAUGACACUUGAAAACAUAUAUUACAAGAUCAGAAAAAGAAGAUGUGGAUUUCGAAAUAAUCUAUACUAUCAGUCAAAACUCUCAGAAUCAGAAGUCUUAUCGCAAUUAGGGUUACUGAUUUGGGGGUUUUUGAGUCGGGGAUUUCUGGGAGUUAUGUCGCAUGAGGGGAUUUUAAAAUCGGGUACAAAAAAUCACGUCGUUUUUGCACCCUUCGUGUUAUUUUUAAACAUCUACGUGCUUAAAUGAAACAUCACAUUCAAUUUAAUGGGUCUCUGUUCAGAAUAGACGGCACCAUUGAUGGAGGAUUACAUACAAUAACAUUUCAAUAGUUUAGGGUUCAAAACAUAAAGUUUUAGUUGAAAGUUUUCCAUCCAAUCUAAAAAUAGUUAGGGGUUUAACUCGCUAAAAUCCAAGGGAUUUUAAGCAUCUCGUGUUGUUUCUGUAACUAAAUGAAACGCGGCAUUUCAGUUUAACGGAUCUCCGUUCAUAUAAAACGAUUUUGUUGACCGAAUGUUAACGACAUUAACGGGUUAAUAGUUGGAGGUUUAAAAACAUGAAGUUUAGUUGGAGUUUUCCAUCUGAUCUAAAAAUAGCUGGGGGUUUAAAUCACUAAAACCCUAUUUAUAUUAUAUUUGGUUUAGUAAUAUUUAAUCAGCUCUAUUUUAUUUAAUAUAUAUAUAUCACAUAAGAAAAAAUGAAUCAUCUAUCUUUUAAAAUACGUUUCUUUAGAUAGUCAAAAUCACUCAUUGUGAUAAUUUCUGAAAAGAGUUGCCAAAAAAUUUAAAAAUAUUAUAAUAUUAUGCCAAUGAUUUUUUUGCUCUUACGUUAAAAUUAGUGCCUUUGAAGUCUUUAUUAACUUUAAUAAAUAAUUAAAUUAGAUUUGUUAAUAUAUAUAAUUACCCAUAAUUUUUUAAAAAAUUCAUUAAUUUCAUAAUCAUCAUUAUCUAAAAGAAUUCUAUACAAUGUUAUCCAAAAAUAUUAACAUCAUAAUCCCACUAUAUAAAAGGGGCUAAAUCCCUGGUUCUUAAGCCUUGCCACAUGGGCAAAAAAAUUAUGAGCCAAUCAAUAUGCCAUGUCACUAAUGUUUUGGGCCCCAUUUCCGUACCGGUUUUGGUUUGGUCUAAUAUUUCGGAGUUUGGUAUGAUUCUCUGGUUUUGUACUUAAUUUGAUUAGGGAUUCAUCGUUAUUAUUCUUCCACAGUUCAACCUAGCGUCACCGUUUUUCUAAUCUGUAAACUAAAGUUCUUCCUCUCAUCUCUUCACCUCUCCUGUCAUUCAAUGUAUUCUUUAAAUUUGGGAUAAUUGUUAUUCAUACUAAACCCAGUAACAAUGUCGACCUCUCCGUUUCCUUCACGUUAAAUCUAUAAAUAGGAGAGGGUUGAGAGUAGAAUGGAUCUUCAUAACCUCUGUCAGUUUGUCUUCUUUAUCAAGCGUAGAUUCUCAAAAUGUCUUCCUCCGAUGCCGUUGUUGCGUAAUCCGCCGUACAGAUUGUUUCUGCCGGAGGAGUAAGGUGGCUGACGAGGUGGCGGUUGAUUUGCACCACCGUUACUGUAACUUUUGCUCGUCUGAGGGUAGCCUGACAUAGCUGGAAAUGAAAAGGUAAGACACUUUGCAAAAGAGAUGGAAGAAGAGAAUGAGUUGACCUUAAAGAUCUGUUUCUUUUAGUUUUUGAUAUACUUUUUUGUUUCUACAUAAAUCAGGAGAAAGAAGCCAAUAAAAAAGCUUUGAGGAAGUAUUUAGAGUUAGUGGAGUUCUUCACCAAAGGUAAUGUUUCUUUUUUUUUUAUAUUACACCAUCACUAAAACCAAUCGCAACAGUUUCUGUAUCAAAUAGUUUGAUCGGACAUAAUAAUUUGAUUUGUACUCCUUUGUAUGUUCUGGAACGCAAUGUGGGUUUCGAAUGUAGUUCUGGUUGCUUUGUAUGAGCAGAAUGACAAGCCUUCCUCUGCUUUAGAGUAAGUUCAUGGACACCUACUUUGUUUCUAACCGGUGAAUAUUAGUUUUUAAGAGAGUACCAUAACUUACUGACUUAUAAUCUUCUACACAGGUGAUAGCUUUUAUUAACUUUAUCCUAAUAUGAGUUAGGUCAAAGAGUAUAAUUUCAUAAUUUGUUUAUGCUCCCCUACUAUUGUAUCCUUCUUUGGUUUUGCUUUCAGAUUCAUCCAGCAAAAGCUAGGAAGUCCUUCAGUUUCUGAUUACAAGAAGCUUCAAUCUGAGAAGUCUGACCUUCAAAUAAAGGACAAUGAGGUUUUUGCUAAACAUCAAGGAACAUUGAGAGAGGUAUCCCGUCCUAACUUGAAUAUAAAAGUUUAUCAGUAAACCAUAUAUAAUUGAUUAGCACAUGAUUACAUGCUUAUGUAGUUUCUUAUCCAUUCUUUUUAGUUGUCUUCAGAAUUUCUAUAUGAUUGGUUGGAAUGGUAAUGGAGUAUAUAGAGUACUAAAGAUAGACCAGCUUGAUGCGUCUGAGCUUAACCUCAGUGAGGAUUUCACUGCCUAUACCAAAAAAGAAUGCAACGAGCUGCUUAAACGGAUACACAAAGAAAACAAGGCCACAGGCGGCCUCAAAUUUGUCACUCUCUGUUAUGGCAUCAUUGGUUUGUGUUCUUUUGUUUCAAGUUAUGGUCGCUGAAACAUACAUUGUUUUACUUUUACAGCGUGUUCUCACAAUUUGUUUUUUUUCUUCCCAUUUUUGUGGUCUCAGGAUUCAUUAAGUUUUUGGGACCAUACUACAUGCUGGUUAUCACUUAGAGAAGAGAGAUAGGCCAAAUUUGUGGUCACAGGGUGUAUGAAGUCUCCAAGAGUGAGAUCAUUUCUUUGCGAAAUUCUAGCGUGAUUUGCAACAUUUCAAAUUCAAGAGACGAGAACAGGUGUUUUUAUAUAUCUUUUACUAUUUUUUUCCCUUUUUUUGUCUGUCCCAAGCUUAUUGUCGAAGAAAGUUUCUGUUUUUCUUUUCUGUUUGGUGAAAAGAGAGUGAGUUACAUGUGUUCAUUUAUUAUACCCUUCCACCUUUUUAUGAACUCAAGUCAUUUAACCCUUGCGUUUCUUUAUCUGGUGUUGAUAAACAGGUACAAGAGGUUCCUGUGUAGCUCCUGUGUAUGGUGGACCUUACAAAAGACUUCUUUUUCAGCUAUUCUUUCAAUAUAAUGUGUAGUUUCCAGAAGAAUAUAUGUGUGUGAUGUGACCAUGAAAGUGGUGGUGCUCUCUAUAAGAAAAUAUUUGCUUGGAACGAGUUCUUGACUCGGGGAAUUCGAAAUCAUCUCCGGAAUACCAUGUGAACUGUAGAGCAUUGAUGUAUGGUUUCUUUAACCAGGUAAGAAUCGUAUGUUUUUCUACCCCCCACUGCCAAAGAAAAGAAAGUCUUCCCUGAAUCAAAUGCAUAUCCCUUUUCUUUUCUCACAGCAGUAGUUUUGUUAUUUGUAUACCAUUUUCUUCUGGGCUACAAUAUUGCUUCCCUAUAUCAUGUUUUGUCCACUGAAACCUGCAACCCGACCAUUUUCACAAAACAGUGCAGCUGUUUUACAGAUUUUGAGUGUUUUUAACUUGAGGUUUGAUGUUGUUUUGAUGGUAGGAUGAUACAUCCUGGAAAAGGACUUCCUUCAGAGAUACUAAGUGAUAUGUUUGAGACACGAAAUUGAUGGGUCACACCUGAUGGCUUAGGACUUAAGCUUUCACGGAAACUGCUGGAGCAGAUGAAUGGUAGUGUGAGUUUUGUUAGAGAAGACGAACGUUGUUUCUUUCAAGUGGAUCUUCAAGUUAAGACAAGGUUAGGUGUUGAGACCAGAGGAACAGAGGCUGAUUCAAGCAUACAAUAGAGAUUAUGGGUCCCAAAGGCAUAUAGAUAAUAAAAUUUGAUGAAUUGUGCUCCUUUUAUGGUCUGAAUGUGUUGUCAUUCAAAGUUUCCAUUAUUUAUUUAUCAAUAAAAUGUAUCUUAGUCAUUUAUAUAGUAGGAUGAUUAAGUAAACCAAAAAAAAGAAAAAACAAACCAUAACCCAAUUUACAGUACUUUGAGUCACUGACCAUCAUUAUCAAUUUAUCUAUCAUCAUCAUAUCUUCCUAAACUGAAUAUUUACGUUUGAACAAAAGGCAGUAAAGGGUUCGUUUGCAUGUCAGCUUCAAUGUGUGCUUUCACCGGUAAGAGGAUGAGCAACUUUGUGAAUGCUCCAUGACCAAACCCGCUUUCCUUCAUCAAAGAACAUGGAACAUGCCCAUUUUAAUUUUAUUUAAAACUAUGGAUUUAAGUUUUACAUAUUUUAACGUUAAGUCCAUUACAGCCAAACAAAAUAUUGAACAUAAACUUUGUUUUUCUUUUUCCAAACAGAGUAGAAUUUGAUUGAUCUUUAAAACACACAAAUUCAUGUGCCUUUUGCUGAAGUCGAUAGUACAAGAAAAGUGAAUUUGACAAUUCUUCACAAAAUGAAAAUUUAUUAUAAACAACUCCAACAAAACAAACAAAUCACUCCACAAUACUUCCUAUUACUUUAUCAAAGUAUUUCAAACACGUCUAAUUGUCAAUGACCCCGCGAAAGUAUUACAAACACGUCUAUUGUCAAUAAAAGCAGCUAAAUUGAAGUUUUUAAAGGUGUCAUAUAGGCAAAAAAAUUGAGAACCAACUAAUCUGCCAUGUCAUCCUGGACUGGUUUGAAAGACCAACUUUCGCAGCCCAUUAUUACUAAAUUUCGGAGCCUAUUUACACCAUUCUCAGCAUUUCAUUUUAACAGCCCAUUAUUAUUCAGAUACUAAAGACCCUAACCCAUUAUUACUCAUAUACUAAAGACCCUAAAACAUAAUCCCUAACCCAUUAAUACUAAAAGCCCUAAAACAUAUAAUUCUCUAAAAACUAAAGAUCACUCAUCCUCACUCUAGCCCUAAUCACCGACUCCAUCUCAUCGUGAUUCUCUUCCUCUUCAUCUCAUCUUCAACUUAAAUAUUAUCAUUUUUGAAUGAAAACAUUAUUAUUAUUGAAAUAUUAAUUAUUUAUCCAAAACUCUAAUAAACAAAAUAUACAAGUUGUUAAUGCACUCUAUUGUUUGCAAAGAAGCUUUUCCUAUUAUUUCCCUUUUUCAUUUAAUGCACAAAUACAAGUGUAGAUUUUUCUUUUUAUCUAGAAGAUGUUUUUUAAUUUAACAUACAAAUUAUGAACCGUUUGACUAUGUUUAUCAUAAAUUUGGUUAUAUAUAUUUUUAGUUUUAAUAUAUUCUUCAUUAUUUACAUCUUAUUAGUUUUAAACCAUACAAAAAACAUAUAUUAAUUGCAUAUUUUAAAACUUACUUUAUAUUUUAAAACGAUUAAAGUCACAAUGACCAAUUAUUUUCCAGCACCACCAAAAACUCGAAAAACCCUAUACAACCGAAAUUUUAUUUUCAUAUAUUAUUAAAUUUUAUUUGUUUAUAAUAUGUUUUAAAAAACAAACCAAAAAAAAUUGUGAUAAAGAAGGAAAGUUUUGAUAGAAUAACCAAAUUUUUUCAUUUAAUAGGUAAAAUGACCCUUAUACCCUAGAUAUAUAAAAUUUAAUUAAAAAAUAUUUAAAAACAUUAAACAAAUAAUAAUUAAGUAAUAGUCUUAGAUUAUACGUUUUCAAAAUACAAUUUAUUUAAAUAAUUUUUUUAGUUGAUUUUUAAAUUGCAAUUUUUCUCUAUUUUUGUUUUCAAUUUAUCUUUUUGUAAUUCUAGCCGAAGUUCACAACAAGUGGAGCGACAACCUCGGACCGCAACCAAUUAUCGCUAGGAUCAUUAGGAUGUGGCCCAUCACAAAUCACACAAAUAAAAAUGCUUUUCUAGGAACAACUUUCAUUUAUCUUGACAUCUAGGUUUGUCUUAAAAAUACUUACUUUUAAUUAUUCUAACAACAUUUCAAAUAAUUGCUUUUAACCACUCAACAGGACAAAAAAUGGAAUGGCGGGUGCCUAUUUCUGACACAAUGUACCAACGGUUCGAGGAAGGAAAAAUUUAUCACAUUAAAUAUUUUAAUCUUCUUCCCAAUAACCGAUGGUACAUGCUUACCGUUCAACCAUACUUAAUCAAUAUUAAUGAGACAACAACUAUAACACUGAUUCAAGAAAACAUUUCACCGAUUCCUUCAUACAUUUUCCGGCCCCAACGCUAUCCCCAGUUGAUCAGCUUAGCAAGUGCAACCAACUUCCUCCCAAAUCAAAAAAAAAACCAUACCUAUCACACAUACAAAUAAAUUCUCUAUUUUUGUCGCUAAAAACAAAUUAUUCCCCACAGAUGUUGUUGGCCGCAUAUGCCUCAUCCAAGGAAGUGAUUUAUAUAACCACAACACAUAUACAAAAAUCAUUAUUGGAUUGUGUUAAACAAUAAAUAUAUAAUACAAUAAUUUUUUGUAGAUCCAAAUUGGUCCGUCUAACUAUAUGGGACAAUGAGGCGGCUAAUUUUAGGGAGUUAAAUCGCAUAUCUACCAAGAAAAACCAAAUCAUAAUUAUCACAAGUAUCAUUCCAAGGUUACAUGAAGGUAAUCAACUAAACAUAAAGUUUAUGUCUAACUAAAUGCUUAUAAAUAUUUCACUUUUCAGGGAAACUAUCACUCACAACCAUACCAAGAUCGCGCUUUUACUUUGACAACGACAUAGAUAUCAUACAACGCUUUCAAAAGAGAAAUAAACUGUUAUCCUAAGCCUGAUGGCAUACCUCCAAAUGUGAUCAAACCACAAGACGGAAACCGACACCAGUCAACUGUUUUAAAAUUUACACUUCAAUGCAAACAACCAUAUAUUUUUCAAACUUACUAUUGUUUAGAAAAAAGAAACUGAUCACCGCAUCGCAUUCAAACAAAAACUCUAUGGUUAAUUCUACAACGAACAAAACUUAACUUCCAAUAUUUGAUACUUAAAACUACAAAAAUUUAAAAAUUUACUUUAAUAAAACAUAUUAUCCGCGCGAAGCGCGGACCCCGGCUCUAGUCUUUUUAAAAUAAAUAAAAAUCUAUGUAUAUAGUUUUAUGUAUAUAUGACUGUUUCAAAAAAUUUACGUAGUAAAAGAUAUUUUAUUAAAAUAAAAAAAAACUUUAUCAUAUUUAAAAAAUUAAUAUUAAAUUUAUUAUUAAAUAUUUCAAAAACAAAAGAAUAAUUUAUUUUAAUAGCUCUGAAUUGAUAAUAUAAUUUCUACAAUUUUUUGUGUGCUUAUUAAGUCCACAAAAAACUUAGUAUAUUAUAAUAACAUGAUUACAAAACUUAGUGUACAAUAUAUGGAAUUUAAAUUUCCAAACAUUUACGUAAAUUGUAACUGCCACUCAAUGCCGUCCCAAACAAUUAGGUGGCUUAAAGCAUUUGAAAAAAACGUUGCCCUCAUAGAAAUUUUUUUGUCUUUUUUAAAACAUCGUCUCAAAGAUAAAAUUAUGUGUGUCCAUCGAGAAGGUCAAAGUUUUUAAAAGUCUUGGCUGGGAAAAUUUUAUUUUAUUUGUUAAAUAAAUUAAAUUUUCUUUUAAUGUCAUUUUGAUAGCUAUAACAUUAGAAAAUGGAAACUCGUAAAAAAAACGAGGAUCAUGCAGUUUUGGUAUUAAUAUCAACUAAAAUAAAUGAAAAAUGCUUGUAUACAAAAUUUAAGAUGUGGCCUAAAUUUUUUAAAAAAAUUAUGUGGCCUAAAGCUUGUACUUUUUUUUUUUGUCGACUACCUAAAGCUUGUACUUUAGCUGCCUUAAGGGAGGAACGGGCCUGCUGCCAGUGCCCAGUGUAGUACACUCUCUAAACCUGAGCUUGUUUUCUAAAAUAAAAUAUUCACAGUCAACACAUUAUUUCUAAGAAAAAUGGAAUGACUUCAAAUGCAUUUGACCUUCUCUCCGGUCCAGAAUUCCUUUAGACCAUCUCCAAUGGCUUACUCUAUUUUUUUACUCUAAAAUAGAGUAACUCUAUAAUAGAGUUUAAAUUUGCUCCAAUGGUACUCUAUUUUAGAGUAAAAAAUAGAGAGAUGAACAAAAAAAAAACAAAUUACUCUAUAUUUAGAGUAAACCUAUUUUUCACUCUAUUAUAGAGUGGUAAAUAGAGUGCCAUUGGAGCAUUUUUUACUCUAAACUCUAUUUUAGAGUGAAAAAUAGAGUGGUGUUGGAGAUGCUCUUAGUUGUUUUUUUAAAUUAUUCUUAAUAUAUUAUCUUUUUCUUAUUAUUAAUUUUUACCAAAACUCCUUACUUCUGUAUAUAUAUAUUUCAGUUCAAUAUAUUCUGUUCAGGUAAAAAAAAAUAUUAUUUUAUUUUGAUAUUAAGUAAAAUAUGCGGACCGUUUUACGAAAAAAAUAAUAAAAAGAUAAGGGAUGAAUCAACACAAUAAUAACACAAGGUUCUCUCCAGAGAAUGACACAUCAGAUUUUUAGAAUCAUGUGAGACUGCCAUGUCAAUUAAUGAAAAAAGUAGAAAACCAAUCAAAACAUUUCAUUUAUACGCAUAAUUUUUAGUAAACUACACAUAAGCAUAAACAUUUGUUUAAUAAGCGACUUUUUUAAUAUCAAACCAAUCUCGGACAUAACCCAUAGCUCCAUCGUAGCCAAGUAGAUUCUUCCUGCAAUAUUUUGGGUUUAACCGUAGAUCUCGAUUUCUCAUCAAUGUCACACAUACCGGAAAGAAAAAAAAUACAUGAAAUAUAUAUACAAUAAAGAGAUAAUUAUAUUUAGGAUUUAUAACUAUUACUUGCAGCACAAGUAACUGCCAAGCCCCCUUGUAUGGUAGACGGAGGGAGUUUCCACCACUAAAGCCGGUCGUGGCAGAUCCAGAGGGAGAUUACAUGUCAGGCAUUUCUCAUCAUUCGAAGCUCCAGCUGGCGCCUCACUCAUUGCUCUUUAGGUUGUAAUGGCCUUAAUUAUGGGUAUCACACAGAAAAAAAAUAAUAAUUGACAAGGCUUAGAACAUGUAUCAGCCAACUUACAAACAAAAUUGAGGACAUAAAUUAUAUACAAUAACACAUCGCUUUUUACAAGUGAUGAGACUAGUAGCAGAAGAAAGAAACAAACAAGCUAAAGAAACAAAACACACCAAAUGAGGAAUGAGACAUAAGUACGGUACCUAACCUAAACCCGACUAGCAAGACAGAAGGAGAAACGAAAUGGUCGCACUUUAUUACAGCUGCACUAAGAUUCCUUGUUAAGGACUCACGGGCUUGGUAGAAAUUGGUAGGGCUUGCCAAAGCCUGGCUCCUCCUAACCGCAGAAGCCAAAGAAAACAAACCAAGGGAUAGCAAAAUAAACUAAAGCCACCGAACACGUACCUGAACUUAUAUGAUAUCUUCUUGAAUUUGUAAAAAACAUUUUUCUGAAUUUAGCAAUGUCUUCAUAAAUGUGUAAAUCAAUUUAUUGAAUGUAACUUGUUUGUAUAUUUUGGAAGUUCUUCAUAAAUGUGUAUGACAUUUUUGUGAAUUUAAUUUAUAUGAAUAUUAAAAAGAAUAUUAUUUAAAAAGAAUAUUAAAAAGAAUGUAACUUGUUUGUAUAUGGGGAGCCAGUCUCGGGGUUCGUCCAGCCAUGUUCAGGAUUCCGUUUCGCCCCACAGCUCCUACCAUACAUCUCCUUCUCCAUUACCCGCUCCUGCUGCUCCCGCUCCCGCUGCUAUACCCGCUCCUGCUCCUACGGGUCCUCCGGGAGUGAUGAGUGUUGCGGAGUUGGUUCGACAGCCCGGUCGUGACCAUCUUCCCUAUCUCACUGAGUAUCCACAUGGACAUGGUCAAACAUGGUAAUUAAACUUUUUUUUUUUCCUUAAAAUUUGAUUGAUUAUUAAUAAUUUGUUCUUUUUAUUAGGUUCAACCGAUCCGGGAACGGGAUCAGCGCAUGGAUCAACCGUAUGAUGUACUCUGCCCUCGACAAGGGACAUCCGACUUUCACUCACUUCCCCGUCGAGAAGCAGCAUCUGUGGUUUCGUCAGUUUGCGGUAAGUAUUCAAAAUUUUUACUUAUAUUUUUUAUUUAUUAAAACUAUUUUUUGUGAUUAUUAAACUAUUUUCUAUAUUUAUUAAACAUUUUAAAUAUUUUAAAAACUAUUUUUUUAAUUAUUAAACUAUUUUUUAUUUAUUAAAACUUUUUUUUUGUAAUUAUUAAACUAUUUUCUAUAUUUAUUAAACUAUUUUUUAUUUAUUAAAACUAUUUUUGUAAUUAUUAAACUAUUUAUAUUUUUGUGCUUAAAAACUAUUUUUAAACUAUUUCAGCAAGAAUUCAACUGGAAUUCCGAUGAUACGCUCUCUAUCUAUAACCAUUUUGUCCAUAAAGUUAUGGACAACUAUGGGAAGCAGAUGUACGAGUGGAAGAAGAAAUGGGAAGUAAACAAGGUAGUUUUUAAUUUAUUAACAAUUUUUAAUUUAUUAAACUAUUUUUUAAAUUAUUAAACUUUUUUUUUUUAAAUUAAAAGGUCCCAAAGUCGAUGAACGACACGGUAUGGAAGGAGUUGUGUGAGCAUUGGGAAAAGGAAGAGACGAAAGAAACUUCUUCCACCAACUCCAACAACCGCAGGAGCGACCGUAAAGGGAAGGGCAUCUACAAGCAUAACUUGGGUGCCCAAUCUAUUGCCACUCCCGCGGAUCGCAUGGUAAGUUCAACCGCUUUUUCUUUAAUUAUUUAAGUUUCAGAAUUUUAUUUUUUAUGCAUUUUUUCAAAUUUCUAAUGUUUGUUUAAUUUAUUUUUUUUUCAAGGCGGAAGAAAAUGAGGGCGAGCCGGUUGAUGAUCUCGCCCUAAUGAAAAGGGCGUAUACCAACAAGAAGACCGGUCAGAUUGAUGAUGGUCUUGUGAGGGACGUGGUCGACCUGGUCCAAACUCAGGUGUACGACGAAGUGUCUCAGCUUCAAACCGAUGAUGACGAUUCGACGGCUUCGACCAACUUGUCCCGGGUUCGAAUCAACGAAAUCGUUGAAUCGGUAAGUUUUUUUUUUAAAAGUUCAAUUUAUUUAUUUCUUGAUUUUUAUUUUAUCAUCAAUUUAUAUUAUCUAAAUUUGGUUUUUUAUAUUUCAGUCGGUUCCAAAGAAGAAGGGACGUAUGGUCGGUUUGGGUCGUCACUCCCGGUCGGCUGCUCCUUCUUCUGCACCACCGCCAUAUGUUGAUCCGGAAGUUCUUACGGCUCAGCUGAAGGACAAGGAUGAUCGGAUAUCUGCGUUGGAGACCCAGAUGGCAGCUCAAUAGGCGGGCUAUGAGACCCAGAAGAAGCUCAACGAGCAGAUGAUGGAGAUGAUGAAGAGGAUGUACCCGAACGAGGUGUUCCCGAACAUCCAAGACCCGUAGUUUUUUUUUUUUUUACCAAAAACUCUGAAUGUUUUAUUUAACUUUGAAUAUUAUCUACUAUGUUUUAUUUAAUGUUUUAUUCAAUUUUAAUUUUAAUUUUAAAUUUUUAAAUUUAAAUUUAAAAAAUUUAAAUUUAAAAAAAAAAAAAAAAAUUUCGAAAUUCCGAGGGAAUGGUGUUCCUCGGAAAAUUCCGAGGAACUUUCUUCCCUCGGAAAAUUCCGAGGAACAUAUUUCCCUCGGAAUUUUCCGAGGGAACGGAGUUCCUCGGAAAAUUCCGAGGGACAAAACUCCCUCGGAAUUUUCCGAGGAACUCCAUUCCCUCGGAAAAUUCCGAGGAAUGUUUUGUCGAAACUUUCGAGGAUUGGACCAUCGAAAUUCCAUCGGUAUAUUCCGAGGAACCUUCCAACGAACAUAUGUUUCUCGGAGUUUCCUCGGAAUUUUGUUUCCUCGGAAUUCCGUCGGAAAUUUCCGACGGAAUUCCGAGGAAGUAUGAAUUUCCGAGGACUUUUUUCGUCGGUAUGUCGUCGGAAUAGCGUUAUUCCGACGACAUACCGACGAUUUUUUCCCUCAGUAUCCCGAUGUUUUCUUGUAGUGCACUAAGAUUCCUUGUUAAGGACUCACGGGCUUGGUAGAAAUUGGUAGGGCUUGCCAAAGCCUGGCUCCUCCUAACCGCAGAAGCCAAAGAAAACAAACCAAGGGAUAGCAAAAUAAACUAAAGCCACCGAACACGUACCUGAACUUAUAUGAUAUCUUCUUGAAUUUGUAAAAAACAUUUUUCUGAAUUUAGCAAUGUCUUCAUAAAUGUGUAAAUCAAUUUAUUGAAUGUAACUUGUUUGUAUAUUUUGGAAGUUCUUCAUAAAUGUGUAUGACAUUUUUGUGAAUUUAAUUUAUAUGAAUAUUAAAAAGAAUAUUAUUUAAUGUAUAAUAUAUUUUGAAAAUUUACAAAGAUCCUUUUAUAUAUGUAUAAUAUCUUUAUAAAAUUUAGAUAUCAAAUUCAUGAAGGUCUUUAAAAAAACUUUAGGAAGCCGUUAUGCAUAUUUAAAAAUUGUUAAUAAUUUAAAUUCAGUAAUGUAUUCAUAAAUAUUUAUAUUCAUAGCGGUUAUUAGUUGUUGUAUUUUAAUAGAUUUGAAAAUUCUAACUAAAUCUAGUGUAAUUGGUUCUGUGAUUUUCAAAUCUGUAUUCAAAUCAUGUGUUAUUGGUUUAAUGAUUCAUAAAUUCUAUAUCAAAUCAAGUGUUAUUCAAUCGUACGGAUUUACGAAUAUAUUUGAAUGGAUUUGUUUAGAUUUUUUAGUUAAAAAUACAAAGACUCAAAUCCGAGGAAAAACCUCUCAGAUUUGCAUAUUUUACUUGAAUUUAUAAAUACUAUAUGGAUUUCUAAAUCAAUCAUAAUAUAUAAAACAAUAACACCUCAGAAAGUUUCAUGAAUUCACAUUUAAGAAUAUACUUUUAAAUACACAUUUAUGAAAAAUUUCCAAAAUUUUAUGAAGAUAAUAUACAUAUUAUUGAUCAAUAUCCUUCUAAACUUUACAAAAGAAAUAUAAAUUUGACUUGUUGAAUACAGAUCUUAAAAUAUAAUUUAAUAAUUUAAAUGAUAAUAUGUGAAUAAUAAACUACGGAACUAAAGAUCUAUUUUUCAUAAUAAUCUAGUGUCAUUAAUUUAAAAGAAACCUAAUUUAUUAAUUUAGACUUUUAUAUUUUCAUCCCUCAAAAUAAUUAAGUUAAAGUAUACCAAGGAAAAUUUCCUUAAUUUUAAUAAGAAUCUAUACUAUUAUUUAUGAAGUAAUUUAACUUAUUUGUCAUGAUUUUCAUGAUUUUAAGUAAUUUUGCUUAUUUGUCAUGUUUUAAUUAGGUUUAAGCUGAGUCAUUAAUUCAUUAAUAGUUUUUAGUUGAAUCCAUAAUUUAUUAAUUUAAAUAAUAUAACUAUAAAAUAUGUAAUUAGAUAUAUAAUUAUUUUGAUUUUGCUUAUUUGUCAUGUUUUCCAUGAUUUUAGUCAAUUUUGCUUAUUUUUCAUGUUUUUAUUUAUGUUUUAGCUUAGUCACUCAUUUAUUAAUAAUUUUUAGCUGAAUCACUAAUUUAUUAAUUUAAAAAAUAUCUGUAAUGAAUUUUAUAUAUAAUUAAAAACUAAUUUUGAUUUAAUAAUAUUUAAAUCUAUAUGUUAUAUUAAAAUUCUUAUUUUCUUAUUUGUCAUAUUUUAUUAGGUUUUAAGCUUUUAUAUAGGUCAUUGACUUAUCAUUAGUUUAUAACUGAGUAUUUAUUAAUUUUCACAAAAUCUAUAAUGAAUUUUAUAUAUAAUAAAACACGCAUUUUAUUUAUUUAAUAUUAAAUUUAUAUGUUAUAUUAAAUAAUUAGAUAUUAAAUAAUUAGGUAUAAACUAAUAUAAUAAAAUUGUGAAAAUAGAUUUAAAAAUUAAGAGAAUUCUUAUAUAUAUUGUGUUGCUAUCUGAAAACAAUAUUUUUUAUUAUAAAAUUAAAAAACUAAGAUAUAAAACAGUUUAUAAUUAAAUAUUAGUUUAUAAUGCUGAUUUUUGGAUUAAUAAGAUAUAAAAUAAUAAGUAUUCGUAAGAUGAUUAUACCCGCAUGUGCGGGCAAAACACCUAGUAUAUAAUAAUUGAAGGCCUAAAUACAUUUUCUGACCUAAAUAUAUUACAUCCGGCCCUGGUGAAGACGAUUUUAAGAUUUUUCUUCCGUUCCUCUAUCUAUUAUAUUAGUCUGCGUCUGCUCUUGCUUGUUGCCUAUUCACCGGACAAAACCUAACUCUCGUAUUCUCUGAACGAUAAGAGAACCUUGGAGAUCUUUGUGAAGAUAUGGACGACAAGAUCAGUCAAUUACCUGAUGACUUGCUCUUGAAGGUACUAACGUUUCUUCCAACGAAAGUUGCCGUAAGCACAAGUAUUUUAUCUAAGCGAUGGGAGUUUCUUUGGAUGUGGUUGCCUAAACUUGAGUACGAUGAUAGCGAAUACUCGCCGGGAGAACGCUACAAAUUAUACUCCUUUAUUGAUUUGAGUCUGCCAUUACAUAAAGCUCCAGUCAUAGAAAGAUUACGUCUCAACUUUGACGUAUACGGCAGAUCAUACCGAGCCUACAGUAUCGAGAAGUUGGUUUUAAUUGCAGUGACUAGAUGCGUCCGUGAGUUAAGUGUCACACUUGUAUCUAUGCCUUAUAAAUUUGCUAGAUUACCGAGUAAUUUGUUUACCUGUAAAUCGCUGGUGAUCUUGGAACUUACAGGCCCGAUUUUCGUGAAUGUUCCUCGUAUGGUUUAUCUCCCCUCCCUGAAAUUUUUGAUCCUUGGAUGUAUGGUCUACUCAAAUGAAAAAUCUCUUCACCAACUUCUUUCUCAUUGCCCUGUUCUUGAGGAUCUAGUUCUGGAACGUAAUGAUGAAGACAAUAAUAGUCCAUUUACAUUGAGUGUAAUUGUCCCGUCCCUGCAGAGACUAACCCUAAAGAUAUCUAGAGGAUAUCAUUUUGAAGGGCUUGUGAUAAACACUCCUUCUUUGAUGUAUUUCAAAAUUCUGGAUUAUUUAGAAGAAUAUGCACGUGAUGAUAAUAGUAAUUACUCGUACUAUUUUGAAGAUACGCCUAAGUUGGAGGAGGCAGAUAUUGAAUCGACAUACCCUGAUAUCAACAAGUUUGUUAGAUCGAUCAGAUCUGUUAAGAGGCUUUCAUUAUGCAUUAGAGUCAAUGCUGAUGAGGAGGUAACAAGUUCCCAUCUAUCUAUCUAUCUACCUCAUUUUAGAACACCAAACCAGGUUUUAUUGAUGCUGAAGCCUUUGUUAUUAUGUGCAGGCUUUAUAUCAUGAGGGUAUUGUAUUUGACCAGCUUCAGCAUCUAAAGCUAUGUUCAUGUGGUCCAAAUUGGUCAAAAUUACUUGUCCGGUUACUCAAAGAUUCUCCUUUGUUACGAGACCUUGAGAUCUAUCUGAAUGAAGUAAGUUUCUUCGAUAGAUCUAUCCUUUUGGUGUUAUAAUUUACUGUAAUAUUUAAGACAUAACUCUUUAUUUUUUUUUCAAUUUUAGGAUCAUACAUCUUCUAGAGUGGAUGCACCGGUUUCCUGGCAGAAUCAACUGGAUUGUGUGCCUACAUGUUUAUUGGCAAGUCUUGAAACUUUCAAGUGGACAGUGGUGUAUGUGGAUCACAAGAAGAGAUAGAUCUGGUGAAAUAUAUCUUGAGAAAUGCUCGGUGCUUAAAGGUUGCUAAAAUCUUGUUUGGGCCAUCGUUUUGUCAGCAAGAAGAGGAGAAACUUGAGAUGGCAAAACAAGAUUUGUCACUUUCUUUCAGAGGUUCAAAAACAUGCCAAAUCGUAUUUGUUUGACGUAUUUGAUAUGCAUUUUAUGUAGACAUAUAUCUAUAUUCCCAUUGCCAGAUAUUGUUUUUCCAACUUGGACAAAUAGUAUAUGAAUUUUGAAGAAACAUUAAAGUUCUCCUUCCCUUAUUCAUCUUAAAAACUGAUAAAUUUUGUUUAAGAUGAUAAACUCAUCCGUCCAUCUGAGCAUGCUUCUUAACACGGCUUUUGAACUGCCUAGAUCUGCUCUUGUGCCUUGAGAUAACUUAUGUUCUCCCUUGCCCCUUGUCAUAUCUAAACCACGCUUGAACUGGAUUUCAAUCCUCUUGUUUGCUGAAAGCUCCCCUCCUCCGGGAAUAAUCUUUUGGUCUGCCGGGUUUAUCUGCAACUCUUGCAAUGCCAGCUGAAAUUCGGGAACCAUGUGACAACACAUAAGCUGCUCCCAGCUUGAAGCAUCGAAAAGAGUCUUCCAAGGGAAAAGAAUAGUGUGGACAGACGCAUCACAAGGAUGUCAAGCAUCGAGAAGGUUUUACUCAUUGAUAAUUACGUCCAUAAGAAAAUAACGCUUAAAGAGUUCUUGAGGCACAGAACAAGGUACAAAGAGGAAUCUGUUGGUGAUUUCGAUAAUCAACCUGCAUUGAAGUCUCCCUCGCCUUAAGCGAAGAAGAUGGCACCUAGAAAGGAGAAAAAAAAUGAACAGAUAUCAACAUUUAGAGUUCAAGAUUGUGAGAGAGACAACAAUAUCUUGUAACGUGGAGCAAAACUAAGUCAGAACUUUGCUGUUUGAAUACAAAGGGUUUCUCUGUCGGCAUGCUUUGAUGAUUCCGCAGAUGUGCGGUUUCGCCAGCAUCCAGCCUCAUAUAUUUUGAAAAGGUGGACUAAAGAUGCUGAGAGUGGAGCAUUGGCUGGUGAAGGAUCAAACAUUCUUCUUAUCGCAUGGAUCUCCCACAUUGAGCAUUGAUGAUAAGUUAGAAGCAAGACAGUUCUUCAAUUUUGUCAUCUCUGCUCACUGGGACACCGAGUUUCCAUACGUCAACACUGUUCCCAGAAACUCCACCAUCCACGAUUUCUAUGGCUUUCCUGAUCCCAUGUAUAAGACUCUCCCUCUUCCUCUUUCUUACAAAGAAAAAACCCUAACCUUUGUCUGAACCUGAUUCUAAUAUGGAUAAGGUUCUGUCCUAAACCGUACCCAUAUAGCUGAUCGUUGAAAAGAUUCAUCAAUUUUCAAUUUGGUGUCAAUUACAUCAAAAGUUUCAAUCUUUGUGGUCAACUGGAUCAAAAGUCUCAAUUUUUACAUAAUGGGUCAGUUUUGAUUCUUGCAGCUGAAGUAUAAAGCACCAGGAGCUAAAUGAACUGGGGAAAAAGGUUAAAGAGUUGCUAAUGGGAGGAGGAGGAAUGAAGCGUGUUGAUGAAGAUACAGAGAGAGGACUUGAUUGUGGAGCUUGGCUGAAAUGUUGUGUAUAACUGACUAAUUUGGGUUAUGAGGCAUUAGUCACAGAAGCAUUUAUGUAACAUUUCACAUUUGAAACACAAAAUGUCGAUGAUGAAUCUGGUCAGAAAUCGAUUAAGUGUGAUUGGAAAUUUCUGUUCUUAAGUUUAAAACGGACAUUUAUAUUAUAGAUUUCUUAAUAUAUACUUCUUCCAUUUCAUAAUAUAUGGUUUUUCAAAAUAUAUGAUUGUUGAAAUUUCUACGCUAAUUUUAACUUUAUUAAAAAUUGUUCAACCAAUUUCAUUUUACAAUAUUUUUAUGAUUGUUGGAUUAUUUUUAAUAUAUACUAUGACUGAUGUUUCCUUUUAAAGUAUGUUUUUUAAUCUUUGUGUUUUUAGGCAUAAUCUUUUUUUAAAUAUUUGUAUUUUUAGGCAUAACUUCUUCUUUUACAUCAAAAAAUUAUCUUAUAUAUUAAAACAGAAGUCACGAUCUUGAUUCAUGUGUGAUUUUUUUUAAAAUGGACCUAUUACUAGAAAGUCAUGUUACAUUUAUCAUAUUAAUUGUUUUGUCAUUUAUUUUCAAAUUAAUGUCACCUAAAAUCUCACAUUAUCAACUCAUCUUUUAUUAAUCGUGAUGAUUUCUUUUUACUAUAUAAAAAAUCAAUGACAUGUGUCUCAUAGACCAGAUUUAUUAUGAAUGACCAUACAUUUAAUGUUACUAAAAGUAUACAUUAGUUCAUAAAUUUAUGAUAGUCUUAUUUCAUAUGUCUCUGUCGUUUUCAUUAAAUACUUAAUCGUGUACUAUAUUUAACCAUAUACAGAUAAACGUAUCUCAUGGCCAUAACUUCUAUGACAAUGCUUGACCAAACUAACUUUGUUACUAACAGUGUUUUAUUUUUAGUAAACAUGCUUCAAUGAUAUUUGAGUUAGGAUGCUCUUUGAAUUUAUUGUUGCACUUGUGUUAGUCUUAUUUGAGUUAUUGUUCUCUUUGUAUUAUAUGAUCUUUAAUUUUUAUAUACUGAAACACAGACAUCAUUUGGAGAAGAUGAAGUUAGCUGUAUUCAAAAUAAUAAAACAUCAAAUACGGGUAUAUUCAUUUAACAGCAACAAUAUUUGUUGUUUGUUACAAAAAUCAUAUCUAAAUGGUAUAAUCCUAUAAUUCUGUUACUGUAACAUUAUUGGAAAACAAUCAGCAUAAUAUCAAAGAAAAAAUCUAUUCCAAUAUUAAAUAAUAUAAUUCAAAAAGUUACUAAAUUCAAAUUACGGGUAUAUUAUUUGCCCGCAACUAUAUUGGUCGUAGAUUUAAAAAUUUCACUAAACUUAAAUUGAUGGAGUCUUCCGGUAGUUACUAGAAAAUAGUUUCAUCUCACCAUGAAUUUCUAUGUAUAUUAUAUCAUGAAAUUUUUUUAAUUUAACAUAUUAAAAACAGAUAUCAGUGUUUUUAGUUUAAUAUUCAAUCGUAAUAAUAUUCAAAUAUUAGUGUAGAUUAAUAUUUUAAUAUGUUCAUAAAUACAAAUAAAAUUACUAAAUAAUAAAAUAUUUAUUUAUAUUACUUAUAAUUUUAAUUAAAAAAUUACAGGUAAUAUUCUAUUUCAAUAAAAGAAUAUAAAUACAAAUAAUAUUUAAAUUUGUUGAACUUUGCAUAUAUUAGUGAGAAAAUCUAAUAAGAUAAAUAUAUAAGUCACAAUUACAUGUAAUAGUUCAAAAAAUUUAAUUGAAUAGACAAACAUGCACACUAUAAAAUUAUUGUAUCUAAAAAAGUAUAAAAACUUUAAAUAUAUGAUUAAUUAAUAAAAAAUAUAUACCAAUAAUAAUGUAAAAACAGAUGUAUAUGUUUAUAAAGUGAAAAUAAACACCCGCGCGGUUGUGCGGGUCGAAAUCUAGUUUUAUUAUUAAAAUUUAAGGUUGUCUAGGAAUCCAUACCAAAAUAAAACAAUCAACAAAAACAAAAUUUCUAUGAAAAGAGCGUGCAAUUUUACCUAAAAAGUUUGAUGUCCGGUUUUGGUUCCUUCCGAAAGUUAUGUAAUCUUCCUUGUAGAGAUAUCUGCCAGUUCGAUCCAAAAGUUAAUUUGGCCAUAUUGUCGGGUCUUGAAUCAUUGAAAUGACAUUUUUGCAUUAUGUCCUAAAAAUGACAUGUCGUGUAUUGAACAUAUUCUACAUCGACUAAAUAAGUGCAUCCAAUCAUCAUGUAUGCAACUGUAGCGUAACUUCUUAUAUUAUAAAACAGAGAGUGUAUUAUAUAUUUAUGGAAAUAAUUGAAAAGCAUAAGUUUAAAAAUAAAAUAAAAAAUGUAUUAGCUAAAUGAUAAGGGAAGAAUGUGGUUUUGGUGAUGCACUAUCUGUACUAUUAAAGUAAAAUCUCUAUUAGGAUUUUGCCAUUGAUUUUCAAUUUAUUUACAUUGUCAUGCCAUUGUUUAUUUUUAGGAUUUGUUUUAAUUAAUUUCACCCAUUUAAUAAGGAAACAAAUCUUUUGAACAUAUUAAUUUUGUUUACAUAUACAAGUUUGUUUAAAUUAUUUGUAAAUAACAAGUGUUUACUACGCUUAUACUUAAGCAAUUAAUUAUUGCUAUUAUUUAGGUCUUUUUAGUAUUAAAUAGUUUAUGGAUUUAUUUAAGAGAAAUUUCCAAAGAUAGACAUAAAAAAGUUUUUGUCACAUAUAUAGACCUUAAGAAUAAAAAUGACCAAAAUAGACUUAAUAUUUUAUCAAAAGAAGUAAAUAUACACUUAUGUAGGGUUAAUUAAUCUAGACAUUAGAGUUUAGAGUUAAGGGGUGGGGUUUAGGGUUUAAGGUUAAUUUAAGGUUUAGGGUUUAUAAUUUAGAGUUUAGGGUUUAGGGUCGAGGAGUAGGGUUUUGAGGGUAGGAUUUCAACUUUAAAAAAAUUUAAAAAAUUUAAAAUUUUUAAAAUAAAAAAUGUUAUUUUGGUCUUUUUAGUUUUUGGGAUAUAUUUUUGUGACAAAAACUUAAAAAGGUCUAUUUGAGAGAAUUGCUCUUUAUUUAAACUAACAUAUCACAUUUUACAGCACAAAUAUUUCUUUAUUUGUCUUUUCAGGUUACAAUAUAAAAUUAGUUGGAAAUUUAAACCAAUGAUUACUAUUUUCAUAGUAUUGAUAAAUUUUAUUUAAAUAAAAUGAUUACUAUUUUCAUAGUAUUGAUAAUUCUACAAAAAACGUUUGUUUAGUAUUUUGAAAUAUAGUUAGAAAAAAAUGAAGUAAUUUGUUUUUUUUUGAAUAAUUGAUAAACAUGAAAAUUUAUUGGGUUAGACUAGUUUAUUUUUAUUAUAUAUUACAUAAUUUAAAUCAAAAUAAUUUUAUAUACGAUAAACUAUUAUAAUAUUUAUGGCAUCCAAAACAUAUACAUACCAAAAAUAAAAAAUAUUACAAAAAUAUUAGAAUAUUUAAUAUAUGUUUACAUAGUAUAUCUUUAGAAUGGGUUAAAAUUUAAUAUAAUUAUAGUAUAUAUGUGCCAAAAAUAAUAAUAUUAACACAACAAAAAAUAAAAUAUCAAAAAUUAAAAUUUUGUUGGAAAAUAAUCCCGCGAUUUCAAUAAAGAUAUUUGAUUUCAAUAAAAAUCUAGUAAUUUUCUUAUAGGAAAAGGCAGACAAUAAAGAUAUUUGAUUUUCUUCUUUGUUUCGUGUAAGUACACGAUUUCCUUUACUCAUUUGAUUUCACAUGUUCCCGGUUGCCUUUAGUUAUUUAAGUUUAUAUUGUUGACAAAAAGGAAAAUCGAUACCGUUUUACUCAAACUCUUUUAUUUUCUAAGACAUAAGGGUUUGUCCGAGGUUUAUUACACUGAUAAGAAGUUUUGAGUUUUAAUUUACUAUAGACUAGGUGUUUUGCCUGCGAUGCGGGCUUAAACAUUUUCAUAAAUUUUUGAAAAGUUCUUUGUACACUAUAUUCAUUAUUAAAAUAACUCAAUAUUAUAUUUUAAUUAUAUAAUUAAAAUUUUUAUUUGAUUAAUAUUUAAUUAUAUAAUUUAUAUUUUUAAGUUUUACUAAAAUACUUUUACAGAUAACAAUACAAUAUAUACAGAAAUUAUCUUCUUUUUAAUUGUAUUUUCAGAUUUUGGAUAAUUCUUACUAUUCUUAAUAUUAAUCAAUUAUCUAAUCAAAUUAAUUAAAAUUUCGUUUUUAUUUGUUACUAAUUUAUAUAUUUAAUUCAUUAAGGGUAUAAUCGAUAUUAACCACUCUAACUUUUAACGUGGGAGCUCCGUUGCGAAAAAUUACUUCGCAAAUAAUAGUAUAGAUUAAUAUUUAAUUAUAUAAUUUAUAUUUUUAAGUUUUACUAAAAUACUUUUACAGAUAACAAUACAAUAUAUACAGAAAUUAUCUUCUUUUUAAUUAUAUUUUCAGAUUUUGGAUAAUUGUUACUAUUCUUAAUAUUAAUCAAUUAUCUAAUCAAAUUAAUUAAAAUUUCGUUUUUAUUUGUUACUAAUUUAUAUAUUUAAUUCAUUAAGGGUAUAAUCGAUAUUAACCACUCUAACUUUUAAUGUGGGAGCUCCGUUGCGAAAAUUUACUUCGCAAAUAAUAGUAUAGAUUUUGACUCUUAAAAAGCGUGGAUAUUUUUUUGUUGACCAUAAAACAAAAUAUUAAAUGAAUUUAUAACUAUUAUUAUAUAUCUAUAAUAUUUAAAAAGUGUUCUAUUAUUAUUAUUUCAGUCUUGUACAAUGUUUUUUAUUGAAUUUUUAUAUCCGAACCAGACUUGUGGUCGAACCAAUAGAUCCAUUUACUCGUAUAUAACGAGGGUAGGAUAUAAUAAAACAAACAUGGUAAAAAUACCUUUAAAUACGGUUUAUAUCGUAUAAGCUGUGGUGUCUUAGAUGUCUAAAAGUAUAGAUAGGCGACAGGUUUUGAAAGUCAAAAGUGGGUCAAAUAAUUUAUAUAGUUUGGUAGUCCAUGGUGUACGAAUAUUUUAAAACGGUUCAGUUAUAAAAUUGUGUAACCGAUUUGAUGGUUACAGUGAAAACCGGAGACAUUAGUAGUGUUUAAUGCUGGUCACAUAUUGUCAUAAUAUAUAGGGGAAAGAGAUAAUAUAUCGACUCAGCAGUUAUAUCAUCAUUUUCUUAAUUUUUGGUAUAAUCUUAUCAAUUUUAUUCUUUACAAUAUCCAGUUCUCCGUAUUAUUGUCCCAUCAUAAGAAACAUAAUCGUUGGAUUCGUGUAAACCCAGAAACGAUGAUACAAGAUUCUGCCAAGCAUUAGCGAAAGAAAUGCUCAUUUUUUACAGCAUGAGAAAAGAGCAACACAUUUUGAAAUCGACUCAUGGUCGAGUAUCCUGGUGACUAUGCUUGUAUAUCAUCCUUCAAAAUCAAGUUUUAUAGCAUAUAAUCUGAUUCAGUACAGAAGAAGUAUAGUACUUCAUAAUAUGGUAAGCUACAAACCAACCUUUUCGUUCUUGAGAGAAUUACAAAUUUGCUUUCAUUUAGUUGAAAGUACUUAAACUACAUUGUUUUAAACUGUCACGUUCAUGAAAUUCAAGUUUUUACCAAAAGAAAGAAGCUUACAUUGGAUUUGUUUUGCGGGAUUAAGUGAAAAGAUUUUUUUUUUUCUAAUCUAUCUGAAACGGGAGAUUGUGGCUCAUGCUCCUCAACUUAUUGGUAAAGAGUGGGGGUUACAUCUCUGUAUAGAACUGGGAUUAUGAGAUUGCAAGAGGCUUAUUAAUUAUUAUGAUCAUGCGAUACCGCAGAAAAGGUUUUUUUGACUAUCAAAUCUUUGAGACGUACGAGGUUCCACACCUGUAUCUGAAUUUUGAUGAUCGCAUUUUCUGUUAAAAUUGCAAAAAAUAAUUACAAUACAUAAUUCCAACAGAGCAUUUCGGACCCUGCAUUCAAAUAUAAGCAUUAUAUGGACUUGCCCUUGAGAUGAAAUAUGGAGGAAGAAGCUCUUUAAAAACUGUCUAAAUGCCCAAUAAGAUUGCCCCUAAUUCGAAUUGUAGCUCAACAGGAAUAUUACUUGGUUGUACAAAGAGUAAGGAGUAUUCAAAGUCUCGAUGUUGGGUUAUUGAAAAAAAAGGUAUUUUUUUCUUGUUUUGUACCAAAAGCACAAGAAAUAAAAACUGCUACGAAGGAUACUGAUUUGCAGAUAAUCAAUAACGAUGUUUUAAGUAUAUAAUCUAUAUGGCUUGGUCUUACUUUUCUUUUAUCGGUUGGAGAGACAUAGUCACUCGUUUCAUGUGAUAAAGCAUCGAUCAACGAAUCAAUAGGAUAUGCGGUGCGGUGCGGUGAGGUUAGUUGGUAAGUGUGGCCUUUUGGAACACAUGAUACUCUCUUUUCUUACUUAACGGAUGGCUUGUUUGUUGGAGCACCAGCAUUGGUUCUUAUUCUAAUGGGUUUCUAUCUACAUAAAUCUAUACUAAUAAAAGGAACAUUUUGAAGCUCAAUAGGACGUCUACAUCAGCGAAAAAAACUUCUUCUAAAAAAUGACACGUGGCAUUAACAAAAAAAAGUAUACAUAUAAAAAUAAAUAAAUAAUAAGUAAACAUACAAUAUAAGAAAUAGACAUAUUACAUUAAACAAUAAUAAGUAAAUAUACAAUAUAAAGAAAAUAAAUAAAAAGUAAAUAUACAAUAAGAAAUAGAAAUAUUACAUUAAACAUCUAUCAUAAUUUAUCAUCUGAUUUAAAAUCAAGAAAAUUAGAAUAUGUAAAUAUAUAAUUAAAAAAUGAAAAAAAACUAAAUUAAACAUCUGUCUAAAAAUUUAUUUAUUUAUACUAAUAAAAUGGAGCUUUUGAGGCUCCAUAGAGCGUCCACAUCAACGCAAAAAAAACUUCUCCUAAAAGAUGACACAUGUCAUUAGUAAAAAAUAAAAAAUAAAUAUACAUAUAAAUAAAAAUAAUAAUAAGUAAAUAUAGAAUAUAAGAAAUAGAAAUAUUACAUUAAACAAUAAUAAGUAAAUACACAAUGUAAAGAAAAAUAAAUAAAAAAGUAAAUAUAGAAUAUAAAAAAUAAAAAUAUUACAUUAAACAUUUAUCACAAUUACAUUAAACAUCAAUCAUAAUUUAUCAUUUGAUACAAUUAAGAAAUUAAAAAAAAAAAAUCUAUCUGAAAAAUAUAUAGUAAAAUAAAUAAUAACUAAAUACAUAAUAUAAAAAAUAGAAAUAUUAUAUUAUACAAUUAUCGUAAUAUUAGAAAAAAUAUAUAUAAAAUAUAAGAAAAAAUAAAUAUUAAGUAAAUAUAGUAUAUAAGAAAUAAAAUUAUUGCAUUAAAUAUAUAUGGUAAUAUUAUCAUUGAUGUAAAAGCAAGAAAUUUAGAAUAAAUAAAUAUACAAAAUAAGAAAGAUAAACAGUAAGUAAAUAUACAAUAUAAAAAAUGGAAAAACUAAAUUAAACAUUUAUUUGAAAAAUGUAUAGUUAAAUAAAUAAUAACUAAAUAUCCAACAUAAAAAUAUUAGAUUACACAUAUAUUAUAACAUUAGAAUAAGUAAAUAAGGAACAUUUUGAGGCUCAAUAGGACGUCCACGUCAGCGAAAAAAACUUCUUCUAAAAGAUGACACGUGGCAUUAUUAAAAAAAAAAACAUAUGAAGAAAAAUAAAUAAUAAGUAAACAUACAAUAUAAGAAAUAGACAUAUUACAUUAAACAAUAAUAAGUAAAUAUACAAUAUAAAGAAAAUAAAUAAAAAGUAAAUAUACAAUAAGAAAUAGAAAUAUUACAUUAAACAUCUAUCAUAAUUUAUCAUCUGAUUUAAAAUCAAAAAAAUUAGAAUAUGUAAAUAUAUAAUUAAAAAAUGAAAAAAACUAAAUUAAACAUCUAUCUAAAAAUUUAGUUAUUUAUACUAAUAAAAUGGAGCUUUUGAGGCUCUAUAUAGCGUGCACAUCAACGAAAAAAAUUUCUCCUAAAAGAUGACACAUGUCAUUAGUAAAAAAUAAAAAAUAAAUAUACAUAUAAAGAAAAAAAAUAAUAAGUAAAUAUAGAAUAUAAGAAAUAGAAAUAUUACAUUAAACAAUAAUAAGUAAAUACACAAUGUAAGGAAAAAUAAAUAAAAAAAGUAAAUAUAAAAUAUAAAAAAUAGAAAUAUUACAUUAAACAUUUAUCACAAUUACAUUAAACAUCAAUCAUAAUUUAUCAUUUGAUACCAUUAAGAAAUUAAAAAAAAAUAAAAAUCUAUCUGAAAAAUAUAUAGUAAAAUAAAUAAUAACUAAAUACAUAAUAUAAAAAAUAGAAAUAUUAUAUUAUACAAUUAUCGUAAUAUUAGAAAAAAUAUAUAUAAAAUAUAAGAAAAAAUAAAUAUUAAGUAAAUAUAGUAUAUAAGAAAUAAAAUUAUUACAUUAAAUAUAUAUGGUAAUAUUAUCAUUGAUGUAAAAGCAAGAAAUUUAGAAUAAAUAAAUAUACAAAAUAAGAAAGAUAAACAGUAAGUAAAUAUACAAUAUAAAAAAUAGAAAAACUAAAUUAAACAUUUAUUUGAAAAAUGUAUAGUUAAAUAAAUAAUAACUAAAUAUCCAACAUAAAAAUAUUAGAUUACACAUAUAUUAUAACAUUAGAAUAAGUAAAUAAGGAACAUUUUGAGGCUCUAUAGGACGUCCACAUCAGCGAAAAAAAUUUCUUCUAAAAGAUAACACGUGGCAUUAACAAAAAAAAAAAAUACAUAUGAAGAAAAAUAAAUAAUAAGUAAACAUACAAUAUAAGAAAUAGACAUAUUACAUUAAACAAUAAUAAGUAAAUAUACAAUAUAAAGAAAAUAAAUAAAAAGUAAAUAUACAAUAAGAAAUAUUACAUUAAACAUCUAUCAUAAUUUAUCAUCUGAUUUAAAAUCAAGAAAAUUAGAAUAUGUAAAUAUAUAAUUAAAAAAUGAAAAAAAACUAAAUUAAACAUCUAUCUAAAAAUUUAUUUAUUUAUACUAAUAAAAUGGAGCUUUUGAGGCUCCAUAGAGCGUCCACAUCAACGAAAAAAAACUUCUCCUAAAAGAUGACACAUGUCAUUAAUAAAAAAUAAAAAAUAAAUAUACAUAUAAAUAAAAAAAAUAAUAAGUAAAUAUAGAAUAUAAGAAAUAGAAAUAUUACAUUAAACAAUAAUAAGUAAAUACACAAUGUAAGGAAAAAUAAAUAAAAAAGUAAAUAUAGAAUAUAAAAAAUAGAAAUAUUACAUUAAACAUUUAUCACAAUUACAUUAAACAUCAAUCAUAAUUUAUCAUUUGAUACAAUUAAGAAAUUAAAAAAAAAAUUAUAUCUGAAAAUAUAUAGUAAACUAAAUAAUAACUAAAUACAUAAUAUAAAAAAUAGAAAUAUUAUAUUAUACAAUUAUCGUAAUAUUAGAAAAAAUAUAUAUAAAAUAUAAGAAAAAAUAAAUAUUAAGUAAAUAUAGUAUAUAAGAAAUAAAAUUAUUACAUUAAAUAUAUAUGGUAAUAUUAUCAUUGAUGUAAAAGCAAGAAAUUUAGAAUAAAUAAAUAUACAAAAUAAGAAAGAUAAACAGUAAGUAAAUAUACAAUAUAAAAAAUGGAAAAACUACGUUAAACAUUUAUUUGAAAAAUGUAUAGUUAAAUAAAUAAUAACUAAAUAUCCAACAUAAAAAUAUUAGAUUACACAUAUAUUAUAACAUUAGAAUAAGUAAAUAUAAAAUAUAAGAAAAAUAAAUAAUAAGUAAUUAUACAAUAUAAGAAAUACAAAAAAUACAUUAGACAUCUAUCUAAAAAAAUCUAUAAUAAAAUAAAUAAUAAUUAAAUAUAAAAUAUAAGAAAUAAAAAUAUUACAUUAAACAUAUAUCGUAAUAUUACAAUUUGAUUUGAAAUAAAAAUAGUUAGAUAAGUAAAUAUGCAAUAAAAAAAUAAAUAUACAAUAUAUGAAAUGAAACAACUACAUUAAACAUCUAUAUUUUUAUUACUUCCAAAAAAAUUUAUAAGUAAAUAUACAAUAUAAGAAAAAUAAGCAUACAAUAUAAGAAAUAUAAAUUUUACAUGAAACAUAAGCAUACAAUAUAAGAAAUAUAAAUUUUACAUGAAACAUCUAUUAUAAUAUUAUCAUUUAAUAUAAAAGCAUGAAAAUUAGAAUAAGUAAAUAUACAAUAAAAAAAUAAACAAUACGUAAAAUACAAUUAAUAAAUGAAAAAACUAAAUUAACAUCUGUCUCAAAAAAUUUGCAGUAAAAUAAAUAAUAAGUAAAUAUACAAUAUAAUAAAUAGAAAUAUUAUAUUAAACAUCUAUCGUAAUAUUAGAAUAAGUAAAUACAAUAUAUAAGCAAAAUAAAACAAAUCUGAGAAACAUACAGUAAAGUAAAUUAUAAGUAAAUAUACAAUAUAAGAAAUAAAAAUAUUACAUUAAAAAUUAUUAAGUAAUAUUACCAUUUGAUAUAAAAGUAAAAAAAUAGAAUAAGUAAAUAUUCAAUAUAAAAAAAAUAAAAGUAGGUAAAAUGCAAUUAAGAAAUGCAAAAACUACAUUAAACAUCUAUCUGAAAAAUGUAUUAUUUUAUAUUUUUAUUAUUUAAAAAUACAAUAAGUAAAUAUAAAUUUUUAAUAUUAUAAUAAAUAAAUAUAAAAUAUAAGAAAGAAUAAAUAAUAAGUAAAUAUAAUAUCAAAGAAAUAAAAACAUUACAUUAAAUAUAUAUCGUAAUAUUAUCAUUGAUAUUAAAGCAAGAAAUUUAGAAUAAGUAAAUAUAUAAAAUAAGAAAAGAUAAACAGUAAGUAAAUAUACAAUAUAAAAAAUAGAAAAACUAAAUUAAACAUUUAUCUGAAAAUUAUAUAGUUAAAUGGAAAAUGUAUAUUUAAAUAAAUAAUAAGCAAAUAUACAAUAUAAGAAAUAUAAAUAUUAUAUUAAACAUCUAUUGUAAUAUUAUCAUUUGAUAUAAAAGCAAGAAAAUUAGAAUAAAUAAAUAUAUAAUAUUGAAAAAUUCCCUAUGAUAGUCUUUUUUAAGUUUUUGUUACAAAAUAACUAUAAACGAGGUUAAGACCCGCGCCUUGCGCGGGAUGAAUAUUAUAUAUAAACUAUUUUUAAGUAUUAUAUAUUUUUACAUAUUAUGAAAUAAUAAAUAUAUAUUGAAUAAUUAAAAAUUUAGUAAUUAUUACGUAUAUAAUUAAAUUGGUACAAAUACUUAAAUAAAUUUUAUUCAAACACUUUUUCUAUUUUAUAUGUAUAAAAUUAAGUAUAAAUGAUAUUAACAUAGAUAUAUAGUACAUUUUUAAUAUUGGCAUCUGUUAAAAAGUAUUUUAUACUCAUAUUAUUUUUGAUCAUUUGUAUUUUUUUAUAACAAAAAUCUUAAAUCACCAAUAACAAUAAAACUUUUGUGGGGUGUUUAAUAGUUUUAGUAAUUUAUAAUUUCAAAAACAUUCAAUGCAAAGUUUAAAAUCUAAAAAUUAUGUUGUCAAUAAUUGUUCAAAAUGUUUAUCCAAAAAAUUCAAAGCAACUUUCGAAAUUAAAAUACAUUAUGUAUUUUAUAAGGUAUAUAAAUUAUUUUAAAAAUAUUAAUAUACAUAUAUAUAUAUAUCUAAUAUUUAUUAAAUGAGACUUCCUACUUAUGUAAUUUUGUAAUCAUUUGUAUCUUGAUAUAACCAUGAAUCACACAAAUUUUAAUGUGAGAUUUUUAACAACUUUAGUCAUUUUUAUUCGUUUUUAAAAAUUCAAAAUAUAACAUAUACGAAAAAAUCUAAAUUUUUAUUUUAAUAAGUUAAAAUUUUUAAAAAUGAUAGAGAAUAGACUAUUUUUUAUCAAAUCUUUAUUAUUCAAAAUCAUUAAUUGUCAUAUAUACUUUAGCCACAUUAGGUAAUUCCGUGAAUUUUAUUUAAGGAGACAAUGAAGAACAUUUAUGAUUAAUUUAUGGUUAGUUUAAUAAAAAGCUUAUUAUAUAUUUAUAUGGACCAACAUAUUUUUCUAAGGAUUCUAAGAAUGAUUGUGGUGAUGACAUGUGGCUACAAAAAUAUGUUGUAAUGCUUCUCUUUUAAUAUAUAAGGGAUGAGAAAAAUGACCAAAAUAAUUCUUAUUAAAGAGUAAAAAUACAUUUAUACCCUAUGGUUAACUAACAUAAAUUUAUGGUUUAGAGUUAAGGGGUGGGAUUUUGAGGAUAAGAUUUCAAAUUUUUUAAAAUAAAAAUAAUAAAUUAAAUUUUUCAAAACAAAAAGGGCUAUUUUGGUCAUUUUCCUUAUUGAAUGCUAUUUUGUGAGAAAAAUUUAAAAGAUCUAUUUGAGAGAAUUGCCCUACAAUAUAAGAAAAAAUAAAUAAUAAAUAAAUAUACAAUAUGAGAAAAGAAAAACUAUAUCAAACAUUUAUCAGAAAGAUGUAUCGUUUUCCAUUUUUUAUGUUGUAUGUUUACAUAUUAUUUUUUGAAAAUAGAAAUGUAAAAUGGUAAUCUUACAUAUGUUUAAAGUAAUAUUUCUAUUUUUAUGUUGUAUGUUUACAUAUUCGAAAUUAUAUAUAAUGUUUUUUGUUUUUUUUUUAUAAAACAGUAAUGUUACAUUAUGGAGAUAAGCCGGUAUUUGUUUUAAGUGAAAAAUGGUAAUGAAUUUUUGAGGAUAGGAUUUCAAAUUUUUUAAAAUAAAAAUAAUAAAUUAAAUUUUUCAAAACAAAAAGGGCUAUUUUGGUCAUUUUUCUUAUUGAAUGCUAUUUUGUGACAAAAAUUUAAAAGAUCUAUUUGAGAGAAUUGCCCUACAAUAUAAGAAAAAAUAAAUAAUAAAUAAAUAUACAAUAUGAGAAAAGAAAAACUAUAUCAAACAUUUAUCAGAAAGAUGUAUCGUUUUCUAAUUUUUUCUAAGGAAAUAUAUAUUCACAUAAACAUACAAUUGAGAAUUUGUUGUUGUUCAUAAUACAACGUUCAAAAAAAUAACUACAUGGUUAACAUUUGAAAAUAAAAAUAGCCCUGCGCGUAGCGCGGAUUAACUCCUAGUUAAUAUAAAAAACUUGUGGGAAAGAAGACAAACGAAAAAACGUCUCUCAGUUAAGAAAGAUCUUAUUUAUUAAUUAGGGUUAGACGUAGGACGGCUGAGUAAGUAAAAAAUUAACAGAAUAUAUAUAUAUAUAUUUUAAUAUACAUCUAAAAGUAUUUAGUUUACUCUAUUGUUCUUCUUAGAAAUAACAUGCUUGCCUAUUUAAUAAGAAAUUUCUUAAUUGAUGUAAUUAAUUUUUAUCAUAAUUGUUUUAAAAAGUUUAUUAUAAAAGUAUGUAAAAUAAAUUAAUCUGAAUUAUACCGUUGAAAUUAAAUAGAAUACAUUAAUCAUUUUUCCUUCUUAAGAUUUUUUUUGAAUACUUUGGUACUUUUAUUUUAUUAAAUUUAUUGAUUUAAAUAAUUCAAAAAAGUGUAUACAUUGGUACUCUUUAGAUAUAUAUCUAAAAUUAUCAAAUAAACUAUGUCAUCCAAAUUUAUUAAGAUUUUGAAGCAAAUAUUAUUGUUAGGUUUUGGAUUAUAAUUGGUGGCGGUUUUAUUUCUAUUUGAUUACAUUUUGAAUAAUAUUUAUGUACAUUGGUUUAAUUAUAUAUAUGAUUAAUUAUGAUUUACUUAAAAAAUUUAACAUAUUUUUUAUUUUAAAAAAUUAAUAUUUUCUUUAGUAAUAUUUGUUUUUAAAAAGAUAGAUUGUGUAUAACAAAUAAGAUUCAUUCCUAGACUCAUUCUUUUAAAUAAAAAAAUUUUGUUUUGAACAAAUUUAAAAUAAUAUUAUUCUAAUUAAGUUUUAGUUUCUUUUAUAAAUUCAUGUAAAAUUUAUUAAAACUAACUCACAUAUUUUAUUUAUUUAAAGAUAUUUAUAUGUAUAUUCAAAGUACAAAAAAAUAAAUAAUGAAAGAUGUAAUAUUCACAUAUAUGAUAAACCAUCAUCAAAAGAGAAAAACUAAUUUUAUUUAUGUAUAAUAUAUUAGUAUAUUUUUGUGUUAUAUUUUAAAACAGGAUUUUAGUUUGUAUAUUAGAAAAUUAGAAAUGACUUUUAUUUUUUAUAUAAAUUUAUGUUAAUAUAUCUAAAUGAUUGAACAUAAAAAAAUAUAAUAUUAAUUUAUUAAAAUAUUUAUAUGAAAUAGUUUAGAUUUUGAUUUAAAUAUUAUUAGUAUGAUAUAUAUAUAUAUAUAUAUAUAAUGAUUUUUCAUUCGAAAAAGACUUGUGAUUAGAAGAUGAUUUUAAAUAAUUUUAUGGAAUAUUAAAUGUUUUGUUAAAAAUACUUGGAUUAAAUAAUAAGAAGAUAAAAGAAAUAAAAAAAUCUUAAAAUAAGUGAUGAGGUGUUAACUUUUGGUACACCACUUGCUUAGAUGGCUUCAUUAGAAAAGAGAAAAUUCAACUUUAUUAGUAUAGAUAGAUUGAUAAACAUUGUAACAUGUGAACUAUGUUACGUGUAAUCACUAAAAUGAUUUAUAUAGUUUUUAGGAAUAUAUUGGUUCAUUUAAAUAUAUAGUAUAUGUUUUUACUAAACUAACCAUUAAAAAUAUUAUUUUUAAAAUAAAAACUACGAAACUACAUAAUGUGAUUAAAAUGUAUAAUGAUUUUGAAUAAUAAAAAGUUUGAUAACAAUUUAUGUAAACUCUAUCCAUUUUGUUUAAUUUAGUAUUAUUAAAAAAUUAAAAAAACACAUAACUAUAUAAUAAAAAUUUAAUUUUUUCUUAUAUAUUACAUUUUGAAUUUUUUAAACAUUAUUUGAUUUGUUUUACUUUGAAAAUUUACGGAAAUCUGAAAAACAAGAUAUCCAGAAAAUAUACGAAUAAUUGCGGAUAUUAUAGAAUACUUAUGAAUAUUUCGUCCAUUUUAUUUGAUACAAAUAAUGGAUAAAAUUUGAUACAAAUGUUCUUUAAAAUAUUUAUUUUACAUGAUGUAUAAAAUAAGUAAUGAAACUAUUUUGUAAAUUUUAAAUUUAGCUAACAAUAAUAAUAAGACAAAACUUAAGAAAAAGUUAUCAUUGUCAUAUAUUUGUUGGUUUAAUAUUUUAUAACCAAUGAUGUGCAUAGAAUUUAUUAAAUUAUAUGUUAAAAUAAUAAUCAUAUAAAUAAUAAUCUAAAUUUAAUGAAGAUAUACAUGUAUUAGUACAUCUUUUGGAGCGUAGCGGGUAUCAUGUUCCCAAAAUUUUAGUAUUUGUAUUAUUUCGAUUCUAACAGAUAUUAAUUUUUAUUAUUUGCUUUGGUUCGAAAAUUUACGUUUAUCAGGAUUUUUGGAUCGAAUUGAAAUGAAUAAUGAAUCAAAUCAGAAUUUUAAUAAAAUGCCUAGUCCUGUUGAGCAUCAUCUACUUCGAGGAAUACUUUUUGGGGAACUUUGCAUGUUGUUCUAUUUUUGAGAAAAUUGAUAAAUUGAUGAAAGGAAAUAACAUAAAAUAUUAGUAAAGAAUAUAUUUGUAACAUUCUGAUUUCUGGUAUAUAUGUGGAAAGGUUUAAGAGAAUUGAUUUGGCUACCUAUGUCAUCAAAUGCGUUUACUUUUCCGUCACACAUCCAUUUAAAACUACAGAGUUAAGUGUGCUUGAGCUGCAGUAGUGAAAGGAUAGAUGAUCUAUCGAGAAGUGAUUCGGGAUACCGUGCAAGUGAGGCCAAAACACGGGAAAAGAUCAUAGGGUGAUUGCAGGGUCAGUAGACAAGACUUUCGAGCCUUGAAAAAAUUAACGCACAGCCUAUCGCACAGAACGGGCCCCACGGGUCGAGAGACCAGGCGUGGGAGGCCCAUUAGUCCUUGGGUUCGUGGCGUUACAAGUGGUAUCAGAGCAUAUUAGCCAUCUCGGUUCUGGAUCGAGAGGCGUUUUGAGACUUGUCGUGGUGUGCUACGGGGGCGUUGCGCUCUGUGAGUGAGGAUGAAUUGUAACAUCCCGAUUUCUGGUAUGUGUGGAAAAGGUUAAGAGAAUUGAUUUGGCUAUCUACGUCAUCAAAAUGCACUUACUUUUUUCGUCACACAUCCAUUUAAAAUUUUAAAGUUAAGCGUGCUUGGGUUGGAGUAGUGAAAUGAUGGGUGAUCUCUUUGGAAGUGAUUCGUUAUACCGUGCGAAUAAGGCCAACACAUGGAGAAAAGUCAUGUGGUGAUUACAAGAUCAGUAGACAAGACUUUCGAGCCUUGAAAAAAGUUAACGCAUCGCCCAUCACAACAGGACCCACAGACCGAGAGAGCGGGCAUGGAAGGCCCAUUAGCCGUGGAUAUUCGUGGCAUUACAAUAUUAGACUCUCAUAGAAAUAAUUUUUAUGGUAUAAAUAUAUUUAUAUAGAAAAUAAAUCAAUUUAACUAUAAACUAAUAUGGUUAUAGGUAAAAACAGUGAGUUUUCUCUCUAAAAGAUCUAUCUCCCGAGCGAAAACCCUAUCUCCUCCUUUAGGGUGGCCGGCGGUGUUUCUCCUCCUCCGUUGACUCCGGUAGCCCCCCCCCCCCCCCCCUCGUUAUCUUCCUUCCUCUCGCCUCUCCUCUUCCUCCUUUCCUCCAUUUUCGCGGUGUAGAUAUGGUGCAUCCGACCCGGAUCUCCGCAGAAGCAAAGUGGAGGAGUGGAUAUGUGGUUCCUUUGGUCAAUCGGAGUGGCUGUGGUUCAGAUCUGGCGAGCUCUGUCUCUUUACUCUGCCACCUCUGUUUGAUCUUCUCGACUAGGGUGCGUAAGUUCGCUUGGCUGAAGGCGCUUAGAGUUCCUCAGACAAUGGAGAUGCAGUGUUUUUUCCGCUCGUCUCGGUUAGUCUCCGGUGGCGUAUUUUUUAACCCGAUCAACCAUUCUCGCAGGGGCUUCUAUGGUGUUUCUUUCGUUUCCACGCCGGUUUGGUCUGUUACGGGAUCUCCAUAGCGGGGACGUGUAUGAGGAGGUGAGGAGUCGGUCUUGUCAACCACGACUAACCUCUUUGGUGGUGCCGCAUGUGUAGUUAACAAGGAAUGUGGGUAGAUCUAGGGCUGCCCUGGUCCACUUUGCCUUCUGGUGGAGUAGUUGGUUAUGUCUUCGUAGUGCAGGUUCGAGAGUGUGUUGCGGCCCAUGGUUAGUGAUGUAUUGAGAUUUUUCAUGGUUUUAAGCAUCAUUUUCAUAUUCAUUUAGAUCAUUUUGGAUGCAUUUAGAGUUUAAUUAGGUACUGAUAUUACGUGUAUACGCACACCAAAUAACCUAAUGUGCACACUACCACAAUCGAAUGGUAUGUCGAUGUAGCACUUUAGGAUCGAAUCCACAGAGACCAACUGUUACACUUUAUUUCUAUAGGAUCAAUAUUAAGCUAAAACAAUAUGGGAGUUUUAAGAUUGAGGUAUUAUAACAGAAAAUAAAAGACUAGUUAAAAGGUUUUCAGAUGAUUAAAAGAGCUAGGUUCAGGGUGAUUCAUUGGGAUACUUAGGAUCAUGAGCUACACAACUAUUCAAGAAAACAAUAUGAGCCAAUCUAGAACUUGAACAACAAGAAUAGAUAAACCCACUGUCGUGGUGUCUACCAAUUUAUCAAGCAAUCCUAAUGCCUAAACUGUCGUUUGGAUCAGAGAAUGAUGACAAGCAUUAAGUUCAGAUUCAAUUUGUUCACGAUUCGCCUUAACAUCAGCUUUCGUUGGCUAAGGACAAAUCGCCUAUCUAUGCUAUUUCCAGUAACCUAAAACACUUUUGAUGAAUAGAUUAAACUUGUGAUCAGAUGCUAAAUGGCCAGUUUAACAUAAGCAAUAAGCAUAACAAUAGACAGAGAUAUCAAAGAAUAACAAUCCUAUUUGUGUCUAGCUCAAUGAUCCAUGAUCCUUAACACCCUAAACCUAACAAGCGACUACUCAGACAUGGACAAAGAAAUCACAGAGACAAAGACUGAAUAAAACAUCAUGCAAUUCAAUAGAAUAAGAAUAGGGUUCAGGAUAAUCUUCUCUAUGACGAGAGAGAUGGAGCCUUCUCCCUUUACAAUAAGCAAAUCCUCAAAUUCUAAAGUCUCCAAUGGUUUUCUUCUGUCUAGAAUAGCGUAGAAUGAUAAAGAGAAACAGAAAAUAUGAUAUAUCAAAGCCACAGGCGGCUGGGAGACAAAAUAUGGAUAAUUAUGACAAAUCCCGUAAUGAUUGUAGUUUCCUUAAAAAUCUCUGCCGCUGGAACACUCACUCGGAACAGUCACUCGGGUUGCUCCGCUAUCCGGAACAGUCAUCAAGACUGUUCUGCGUGAAAAUCACCAAAUUGCACUAUUUUCUGCCUCUUUUGUUCCAGCUGGUUCAUCUCCCAUCCAAUGCAACUCCAGACCUGUAAUGACUCGAAAAGGACUAGGAAGACUCGAUAAAGACUUGAAAACCAAUUUAAAAGCAUAUAUACAAGAUGUAUAAAACACCAUAUAUCAAUUCCCCCAGACUUAGAUCCUUGUUUGUCCUCAAACAAUGUCAAGUAUCAAGAACAGGGAGAAAGGUUUGAAAGUGUGGGAACUCUCCUAUUCUCAGCAACCAUACUUUAACCACGAAUCUCUGAACCAUACAAGCAGUAAAACUAGGACAACACACCCUUACCGGAACCCCACUGACUGCUGUUCAAAAAUCGGCUCCAUACUCUUCAUCUCAAACCUGAAAAAGCAACACUAUCGAGACAGAACUCCCUACAUUCAUUUAAGAGUAGCGUGAGCUUCUCAUCACAGGCAUCAUUCAGGGUAGACGGUCUAGGUGUGGAACAGGCUAUUUAAUGGUGGAGUUAAGAGUGUUUAGGGGCUACCAUUUCAUUGAAGAGGAUGCAGGAUAUCACACAAAAUGGCAAGAGAGGAUAGAUCCAUUGAUGUCCACAGCCUCUACUCGUUUUUGCUCUAUCUGGUGCGACUGUUCUGAUGGCGGAACAGGCAACUGAUUGUUCUGCGUUCCACUUUCCUUUUGGUACCCACUCCUUUGUUCGAUCUUCCCAGUGGCUCAUGUUUCUUUUCUUUCUUCCCCUUCUCCAUCACAUUAAUCUCGUUUUUUUUUUUUUUUUUUUUUUGAAGACUGAUAUGGUGAUGUGACGAAGAAGGAGGUAAUACAUGAUCGUUCUGAGUGCCACUGGUGGUUCUGAUUUUGCAACCAUUCUGGUUCUCCACCCCUGCUCUUGCGCAGUUCAUUGGUUAUGGAGCAGUUGCUCCCUUAAUCUGCUUGUUCUCCUUUCUGACUGAAUUUCUGCAGCAGUAACGAGUAGCAGGCUGCGUUGAUCCUUUCCUCUCCGACCUUUUUGCACAUAUCUGCACAUAUGACACUGAAAAACAAAUGCAUGAAGGUGGAAUAAAGGCUAAGGUGCAGGGUGGGAACUAGCUAAAGAUGAGCUAGCCACUCAGGAUCAGCAAGAUGGAUAAAAAGGAUAAGAAGUCCUGAGUGUGUUCUCGUUUCCCUGAUCUAAUGCCCAUAACAAGAAGAAUUUCAGUCAAGAUUAGGUUCAAGUAAGGUGGAGUUAAGUCUACCCAGUGUAACCUGAUCGGCUGAGAACUUCUGGAGAAUCAAGUGAGAUAUGUCAGGGUGUUCCAGGUCCACAUGUGUGUCUUUCGCCACUGCUAAGGUCACUGAAUAAGAUAACUAAAGCACGAGGUGGUCAGUGAUCAACACAGAAUAAGGUCCUAAUUCCCACAAAGUUUUGACUGACUCAAUAAAAACUGACUCAAAUUGACCCAAAAGAAAAACAAAAGAAAGAAACGAGUUAGUAAACGACGAAAACCCUCCCCCGGACUUACUUCACAACGUCCCUGGUGUGAAAAUAAAUCAGAGAGAAGGAAAAAACAAGAAUAAAUUAUUUUAUUUUUUUUUUUCGAGAUACUUACCUGGUGCGGAGCAGCCUGACAGAGCAAGACGCGGUUGCUCCGGUAAAGGAUGCUCUGGAAUGAGAGCAGCCAACUGCUUGCUCCAGUCAAUGGUCUCGGAUUUUCUGAUUUAUGACCUGAGACUCAAUAAACUAAAAACAAAAAUAAGUAAAAAGAAAAUCCUAAUGUUAAUGACACUUACCAGUGGGUUGCCUCCCACCAAGCGCUUGGUUUAAGUUUCUAGCUUGACUUGGUGACUGGGAUCAGUCGGGUUGAGCAGGAGGGCUUGUUCCAAAACAAGCUCCACAAUCAGACAUGUUCAGCUCCAGAACUCUGCUCAACAACCCUUUCACAGCAGCUUUCCCUUUCUCCUUCAGCUCAUGUGUGAGAAUAGCUCUGACUUUAGAGAAAGGUUUAGAGGUACCCUUGCACUUUACCUCAUACUCAAUGGAGUUCUCAUCACACUUGAGAGGUAUCAAAGUCAUUGUAGGAUCUCCCUUGAUCCUUUUCUUCUGGACUUUCUGUUUCACCCUUGAAUUCCCUCUGAAUUUAGUAGGAUCAGUGCUAGGAUCUUCAUCAGAGAACAGCCUGCUCUCACCCUUAUCACCAUGCUCCUUCUCUGGAACAACCUUCAGCUUUUCUACAUCAAACACUGAGAUGCGAGAGGCGUGUGAUGAGGAAGAUCUGGUGGGUACAGCCUUGUAGAAAAUUUUCUUGUUGAUGUUGGAGAAGCAGACUCUCUUGUUGGGCAUAUCGAUGGUUGCUCCAACAGUAGUCAUGAAUGUCCUUCCAAAUAUCAAAGGCAUCUCAUGAUCCUUGUUCAUCUCAACAACUUGAAACUCAGCAGGAACAAUGCAUUCCCCUACUUGAACAUGAAGGCUGCAGAUGGUUCCAUAUGGGACUGCUCUGGAAGAGUUUGCAAAGGUCAGGGUCAGCUGAGAACGCUCAACAUCAGCAAUACCUAAAUCGUCUACAAUAGCCUUUGAGAUGAGAUUCACACAAGAACCGGAGUCACAAAGAGCGUCCUUGAAGGUUGUUCCUGCGAUGGAACAUGGGAAAACAAACUUUCCAGGAUCAUUAACCUUAGGCAAUACCUUCAGUGCUGGUGUAGACAGUACUUUGGUAUAGAGGACCUUGAUCUCCUCUUGAGUCUCUCUACAGUGUUUAAAGAACUGGAGCAAUGGACGAAUCUGCAGAGCAUCUUCGAAUGCAAGUUCUUUAGGAAGCCUUCUCACCAUCUUGUUAAAACCUAUCAGCUGCUCUUCACUAAUGGGAUCCAUCAGAUGUCUAGGUGGAAUUGGAUAGGGAACCUUGGGAACAUAGACUCGAGAUGGUGGAGUCUCAGCAGGUUCGCUAGGAGCAGUCACUCCAGAGCUAGCAGACUGCUCUGCUCUCUCUUUUGCACCUGAAGCAGUCUCAGCAAACGGCUGCUCUAUUGCAUUACAGUGCUCAGUCCUAGAAUUUUUAUCAGUUCUUCCAGGAAGCGUCUCUUGUUGCCUCUUGACACUCUCAACUGUUUGAGCAAGCUGAACAUCGAUCUUUCUUAUAUGGAUCGCAAGAUUGUCAUACUUGUUAUUCAGCUCAGUGAACAUGUUGCCCAUCCUGGUGUCUAUUUCCGUGGUUACCUGAUUCAACGCCUUGGCCUGAACCUGCUGACCCUGCAACAGCUGUUGCAUCAUCAUACCCAGACCCUUCAGCUCAUCUGGUUGACUGUUCCCGGAAGCUGGAACAGCAUGCGGAUUGCUCUGCGGUUGUCGCUGGUUCUGGUUCUGAAUAUGCCCGGCCGUAGGUUGUUCCAUGCUGAAAACGUGCCCUUGGUUGUUUUUCAGUAGCUGAUAAACCUUGGCAGUCAGCUCAUCUAUUUUUGGGCGUCAGAACUUUUUCCUUUCUUGGAGCAAUCACUCUCCUCUUUCUUAUUAGCUGAGCUAGCAGCCAUGUUCUCAAUCAGCUUAAACGCUCCAUCAGUGGUUUGAGUCAUGAAGUCUCCAUUGCUCGCAGAGUUUAGAGCACCUUGGUAUUUCCAGUCCACUCCAUCAUAGAAAAUGUCCAGGAGGUAAUCAUCAUCAAAUCCAUGGUGAGGACAUUCUCUGCGAUAGUCAUUAAAGCGCUCCCAUGUGUCGCAGAAAGGCUCAUCAGUGAGCUGUCUGAAGGAGGUGAUCUUGUUCCUCAAUGCAGCUGUUCUCGCCUUAGAGUAGAAAUGGCUGAGGAACGCUGAUCGGACCUGUUCCCAUGAAGUGAGAGAGCCGAUAGGGAGAGAGUUCAACCACCUUGCAGCUUUUCCAUCAAGAGAGAAUGGGAAUAACAUGCACGUGAUGUAGUCUGGUGGAACACCAUUCACGCGAGUGAAACUGCAGACUUUUUCGAAGCUCUCAAUAUGCUCCAUUGGAAUUUCUGUAGAGAGACCAGAGAACACCUUUCUCUGUACUAGACCGAUCAAAGCAGGCUUGAUCUCGAAGUCCUGCCUGGUGCAGAGUGGAGGAACAAUGGCAGAGCGCGUAGUAGGGAUGUUACGCGGAAGGUUUCUCUGCCCGAUUGGAACAGUCUGCGCUUGUUGUUCCUGCUGCGCGAGAGCAGCCUGUUCAGCAGCAUCCUGCUGAGCUUGGAUGGUCUGCUGCAUUUGUUGCAUCUGCUGCUGCAUGAGUGCCAUAGCCGCAGCGAGAUCAUCCUGAUUGGCGUGAUCAUCCAUAGUGGUGUCAGUUUGCCUUGGCUGUUGACGAUUUGUUCUUUCUAACCUUGCUAGCUCCUGGUUGGUAAAUGUAACUAACUUUCCUUGUGCGUUUCUCCGAGUAUGUCUACUGGUCAUGCACCUGGAACAUUAGCUGCAACAAAAAGGAUAAGGCAAGUUAGAGGUCUUAGACUAAAUAAAUAACCAAAAAAUAAAGGUAAAAAGAUGGUCCCCGGCAACGGCGCCAAUUUGAUAUUACGUGUAUACGCACACCAAAUAACCUAAUGUGCACACUACCACAAUCGAAUGGUAUGUCGAUGUAGCACUUUAGGAAUGAAUCCACAGAGACCAACUGCUACACUUUAUUUCUAUAGGAUCAAUAUUAAGCUAAAACAAUAUGGGGGUUUUAAGAUUGAGGUAUUAUAACAGAAAAUAAAAGACUAGUUAAAAGGUUUUCAGAUGAUUAAAAGAGCUAGGUUCAGGGUGAUUCAUUGGGAUACUUAGGAUCAUGAGCUACACAACUAUUCAAGAAAACAAUAUGAGCCAAUCUAGAACUUGAACAACAAGAAUAGAUAAACCCACUGUCGUGGUGUCUACCAAUUUAUCAAGCAAUCCUAAUGCCUAAACUGUCGUUUGGAUCAGAGAAUGAUGACAAGCAUUAAGUUCAGAUUCAAUUUGUUCACGAUUCGCCUUAACAUCAGCUUUCGUUGGCUAAGGACAAAUCGCCUAUCUAUGCUAUUUCCAGUAACCUAAAACACUUUUGAUGAAUAGAUUAAACUUGUGAUCAGAUGCUAAAUGGCCAGUUUAACAUAAGCAAUAAGCAUAACAAUAGACAGAGAUAUCAAAGAAUAACAAUCCUGUUUGUGUCUAGCUCAAUGAUCCAUGAUCCUUAACACCCUAAACCUAACAAGCGACUACUCAGACAUGGACAAAGAAAUCACAGAGACAAAGACUGAAUAAAACAUCAUGCAAUUCAAUAGAAUAAGAAUAGGGUUCAGGAUAAUCUUCUCUAUGACGAGAGAGAUGGAGCCUUCUCCCUUUACAAUAAGCAAAUCCUCAAAUUCUAAAGUCUCCAAUGGUUUUCUUCUGUGUAGAAUAGCGUAGAAUGAUAAAGAGAAACAGAAAAUAUGAUAUAUCAAAGCCACAGGCGGCUGGGAGAGAAAAUAUGGAUAAUUAGGGCAAAUCCCGUAAUGAUUGUAGUUUUCUUAAAAAUCUCUGCCGCUGGAACACUCACUCGGAACAGUCACUCGGAACAGUCACUCGGGUUGCUCCGCUAUCCGGAACAGUCAUCAAGACUGUUCUGCGUGAAAAUCACCAAAUUGCACUGUUUUCUGCCUCUUUUGUUCCAGCUGGUUCAUCUCCCAUCCAAUGCAACUCCAGACCUGUAAUGACUCGAAAAGGACUAGGAAGACUCGAUAAAGACUUGAAAACCAAUUUAAAAGCAUAUAUACAAGAUGUAUAAAACACCAUAUAUCAGGUACAUAGCAUAUGCAUGUGGUAUUUUAGGUUUGGGAAAGCUCAUGUUGAAGUUUGGAGAGUCUAAUGGGCACGCAUGAAAAAAGGUGAAAAGAAGCUUCGACCGCAGACGAGUUCUGUGGACCAACCCUAUCUGCGGAUCAUGGGCAGUGAAAACAAUUUAAGCUGCACAAACCGUGGAUAAUGGCUGCGGGUAAUUGCAGUUCGCAGAAUGGUGGCCGAGAGGUUGAUUUGGUGUGGAUGAACGGCGGGUCACGGACGCGGGUUGAGGCCAUCCGUGGGAUUGAACGAAGGUGAAGCGCAGACAUCAACUACGGACGAGCAUGGUCCGGGAUACGAGGCAGAAAGGUCGAGUUUUUAUGUGGACAGACCGCAGACCACGGCCGAUGCCAAGACCAUCUAACCCAUUUCUCUAUCGGGUCAAACCCGGGUUUGUCGGGUCGACCCGUUUCGAGUUUCAAGCUACUAUAAAUACAUUUUACACCUAAUUUUAGACUUAUCUUGUUUUCUCUCUAAACACAUUGAUAUAUUGGAGAAAACUUGAAUCUUUAGUAAUAUAAUCUUUCUUUCUUGAGUAAUCUGAAUUUAUUUCAUCUUCUCAACAUGUUUUGUCUUGAAUCUAUCAUGAGUUUAAAGUUAAUCAUCAAGAUCAGUGAUUAGAUUUAUUAAGUAAAGAUUUUGGGUGUUUAAUGUUAGAUUUAUAUGUUUCAUUGCUUAUUGAAUGUGUUCAAUGCUAGAUUAGUCUUGAACUCUCUAAUCUUGAUCUCUAGACAUUUCAUACCCGGAAGGUGUUUGAUGAAAUGUCUGAACCAACUCAACUUUUCUCUAGCUUGAAUAACCAAAGAGGUUUGAUGUUAGGAUUGUUAGAUGGUUAAUAAACUUGAUUUAACUUCAUUUUUGAGUGUAUUAAGCCAAUGGGAAUUGAUGUUUAAUGCAUAAUGACAUAGGGAUUUGUAUCUUGGGAAAUAACUUAUCUAAUAUUGUGAUCUAGACUUAAGGAAACCUAUUGAUUGAUAACUUGUCAUCCUAUAUUGGAUCUUAAUCACUUGAAGUCAAAUUCGCAUGAGUCCAAUUUAUCUAUUGAUUGAAAGUUUAGUUAAUUGCUUUGCUUAGUUCUUGUUACCUGUUUCUAUUCACAUCAACUACACUAAUUGCACUUAGAUUAAGCAUUCUCUUGUAUUAUCUUUGCUUCAUGAUCACUUAGGAUUGGAUUGACAUCUAUCUAUACUACUUUGACAUAGGAUUGUUAAAAGUCCUUAUCAUUUAGUCCUUCGCCAAUAAAGCUUGACAUGUUUGGGGCGUGUUGCCUUGGUCUCGGGUGUAGUUGGUUUGUCCAUGAAGUCCGCUAACUGCGAGGACUUAGCAAGCUUUUUUUGACAACCCGAUCAUUAAGAACAGGUCACCGGGUACGCCUAAGUCUAUCGGGUCCGGCUCUCGCUAUAACUGCAGGUCAAUUAUGUGGCAAGUGAUGGUUCCUUUCCGAUGUAUUCUUUGUGUACUACGAUUGUGCUUGUAGUCAAUUCAUAUGCUUCCUUAGGUUUGAGUUUGUGUUAUUUUUCUUUCUGGUAAUUUUCUACAAGUUAUUUUUGUCAAUUCUGUAAAAAAUUCAAAAGCGGAUAAUAAAUUUUUUUAAAAAAAUUACCAAAAUAAUAAUCAACAGCAGCAUCCUGCCAUCGAGACAUCAUCGACGUUUAUAUCUGGUCAUAGGGUCGAUGACGUUAAUAUCCUUCGUAGGGCAAUGACAUUAAUAUCCUUCAUAGGGUCAACAACGUUUACACAUGCCAGUUCUUUAAAUAGUAAACAAAUAAAACUCGCGAUUGCAAUGUCUAAAUAGUACUUCACGAUUACGAACAUAAAAAAAAAACUCACAAGAAUGAGAAGUAAAUAAAAACUGUUUUUAUUAAGGAUGAUGUGAAUAUCAUCAUCACCAAAAAAUAAUUUUGAAUGAACCAUCAAUAAAUCCUUGCUUAUAAACUCCACUUUAUCACAAAAAAAAAAAAUCAAUGUGGUCGUCAAUAAUCUUAAGCCAUUCUCUUCAUCUUGAGAAAAGGCUGAUGCUUCUUCAUGAUUACGAAGGAUAUCAUGCAAUUCCACAGCCACAAGAUAUGCGACUAAUAUGUAUCUUCUCCUUUAAAAUGGAUUAGGAUCCUUAAUACUGAUACCAUAUAAAUUAAUAUUAGUAAAGUUAACGAAGUAUAUAAAGUUCCUUUAGUCUUUGGUUUGUUUAAGUGUUGACUACUGCUUCAAACCGGACGGUCUAUAUGCGAGGUUCCAAGACGAUGAUUUACAAAACAAUUAUACAAAUUAACGGAUAAAAAAUUUAGAAGAGAUAUUUAGCAUGAUGAAAGUAAAACCGGUUAGGCAUUAAUUUUCAUAAGACGAUUUGGAUGCUGCAAUUAGACAUAAAUCCUCGUAAAGCAGAUACAAUGAUUUAUUGUAGAGUCGUCUAUGUAAUAACUUUUUUCUCAUAAUUGUAAUGCACUAUAAUAAAUCAGCAUUAAAAAACAUGUUUUCUAUUAUCUUGCAGUUAUAUCCCUUAUAUACUAAAACAUAAGUCACUUGACCAACAAAAAUUUGCCAUGUGUAAUUUCUUACAAACGCUAAAAAAAAAUGUUUUUAAAAAAUUAAAAUUUAACAUAUUACAAAAAAAUUUAUCAAAACUCUCUCACGCCCGUUUAGUUUUAUGUUUUAUGUAACAGCAAAAAAAACUUUCCUAUUUUUUUCUCUAACUGUUAUCGGGACACGUUCAAAAAUUCAGCAACUCGUCUAUAUAACAUUCAAUCAAAAUUUUAUCCGUAUUUUUUCUCUCUUCUUCUUCUCUAUUGAUUCAUCUUAUUUUCUUUUUUUAUAACAAUUUUCUAUCAUUCUUUCUUCAAAAGUAUAAGUUGAAGAUUCUAUCAAAUUAUACUUCUAUUUUAUAAUUUGAUUUUUCACAAGGGAAUGGAAAGUCACAGUUUUGUUUCACAAAGUACAACUGUCACAGACAUGAAGUUAUUCUCAAUGUGAAAAUCUAUAUUCUUAUGGACAAAAAGGUAAACACAUUUUAUUAUGAUAUGUAAAACUGUUUAAAUAAAUGAAACUCAGUUUUGUAUAGAUUUUUAUAUAGCAGAAAUAUAAUUCAAGCUUCUCUGAAACAAAACAAGAUAAAAAUUAAAAGGGAGUUAGAAAAUUGAGAGUUAUGUUAAUUUCUAUUAUGUCAUAUAUGUGAAGCUCGGUAUGGAGAAAUAUUCCAAUUUAAAUACUAAGUAUUUAUGUUUAUACUAUUUUAAAGUUUGUUAACUCUACUAAUAUACCUAUGAAACUUUUUGCAGAUAGAUAAUUUGGAUAUGAAAACGUGUCUGCAGAUAUAUUCAUUUAAGAGAUUUUAAUUACAGAUAACAUACAUUUGAUAUUAAAUAUGUUCUAUGAAAUCUAUACUUUUAUACAAUGUGCAAGUUUAAGUGACUUUGAUUUGAAAACAAAAUAUGUGAUUAAACUAGAAAUUUAUUUUGAUAUGUUGAUAAUCAUUAUAGUUUUAUGAUCAAAAUUUUUGGAAUACAGUAAAAAUAAUUGACAUGUGCUUCGCAGGGGAGGUAAUACUGGUAAUCUUAAUAUUUAGGGAGUAAUAUUACAGUUAGGUAUAAUUAUUUAUGAGAAUACUACCGGGGGAAAUGGUCAGGAUAGGUGACAACGGUGCAGUGGAAAUAAAUGUUCCCCGCACUUGUGUGAAUUUAUGAUGAAAAUACUUUGGCUAUAGCAUAAUAUUGUAUAAGGAGAACACUUAAAUCAAACCAAAAUUUUUUGGUGAAGAACUCAUUCGAUGCGAGGAGCAAAACCCACGGGCUGUACUCCGGAGUUAUUAAUGAAUAUGACUACAACGACAUCCUCCAUGUUCCACAAGAACAGAUCUAUAACGCGCAACUUCUCAACACACAAAAAAAAAACUGAACAAGAGGGAAAUACAAGGAUUCCGGUAAACAAGGACUAAUUCCUGUUGGAAUUGUUAAACUCCUGUCCAACUCUAUAUUAUCCGAUUAGUACGAUAUUGUCCACUUUGGACUUUAAAGGCUGGCCCGCAUGGAUUUACUUUUGGUUUCCUUCCCAAAAGGCCUCGUACUAUUAGAGUUGGACAUCUCUUUAUAUAUUAGACUUUCCUUUGUCUAAUAUCCGAUGUGGGACUUAACUUGUUAUCUCGCAUUUUCCCCCUCAAGCUAAGGAUCACAUCCAUCUCAUGUGUUUCCUUCGGCGAAUCAUCUUUGGCACCACCUUGUACCGGUAAUCGCAUGGCUUCCUUUGAGAAUGUUUCUCCCACUACAUCUCGGUCCUUUGAGAUUGUCAUCACAUGUUCCAUGAUCAUCUUGACUAUUUCUGCUGAACCUCCCUUAUUCUUACUUGAAGUGUAUUUUGGUCUUCUUGCAGAUCUUCGUCAAUCUGGUGCUCUGAUACCAAUUGUUGGGAUUGUAAAAUUCCAUUCCAACUCUAUAUUAUCCGAUUAGUACGAUAUUGUCCACUUUGGACUUUAAAGGCUGACCCGCAUGGAUUUACUUUUGGUUUCAUUUCCAAAAGACCUCGUACUAUUAGAGUUUGACAUCUCUUUAUAUAUUAGACUUUCCUUUGCCUAAUAUCCGAUGUGGGACUUAACUUGUUAUCUCACAAUUCCACCACAAAAAAUUCUAAGAUAUAAGUCAAAACUACAUCUCCCUAGUUUUAUAUCAAGCAGAAAAGAUCUAUCUCACCAUUGAACUUCCAAACACUUAAAAUAACACAUGCUGAAGGACUGUCAAGACCAGCCACGCUAAAAUCUAGAUUCUCGAGAAGCCAACUGUUGAAACACAAAUCUCACUCUUGAAUCUUAAACCAACAGUCACAAAACUUCCUACAAUAUAAUAGCCAGAUUAUGAAACGUUUAAGCCCCACAACUUUGUCUUCACAGACCCAAACAAAUCUGCUUUCUUCUCCUUAAUUUCCUUUCUCCAUUCUUGAAUAUCUCCUUUAGACAUCUCUCUUGGUCUAACUUUUCUUUUCUGUGCAUUCUCUCCACAAAACUAGGCCAAAAGAUUUAUACAGUGUCUUACUAACUCUCAAGGCUACCAUUGGUCCAAACCCAAAACUUGUGAUAUUAUAUUGUCACUUAAAAAAACAUAACAGUCAAUGUCUGUUUCUUGCCUAUGUCAAUCUACUCGCUAUAUAAACUUUUGAAUUUUACUACAAUCACAUCUUCUGGUUUCCCCACUAGAAAAAUAACAAGCUAAAACUCAUUCGAAGAAUUUAUCAAAAGUUUUUCUUAUUAGCUAAGAGCUAAUUAGGAAUUUUUCGUUCUAUUAAAUAAAAUCUACCUCAUUGCUAUUUACAAUUUUUUUCCAAAAUGAUAGUAAUAAUGAAUUAACCAAUCACUACUGCGACAAACAAUCCAACGUUUUUCUCACUGAAAUGAUUUGAAGAGCAAGCCACCGUAAAAAGCCACGGGUUCCAUUCAGCGAAACCUCUCCCAAAAUAUCAAUCAAGACUAUAAGACAAGAAAAUGUACACGUCACUUUUCUUUGCGAAGGCUAUAUAAACCCAUUGAUUGGUACAAUGUUCCAUACAACACAAACACAUACAUCUACAAAUUAAUCAUGAAGCAUAUUGGGCUCACAUUAGUUUUUCUUCUAGCUGUGGCGACUUGCAAAGCUGAUGAAGAAAUUACUUGCAAAGAAACACUGUCAACAUGUGGUCAUACUGAUCAAUUCAACAGUGGCAGUUUCGAAAAAGACUUCAUCUUCGGCGUUGCAUCUUCUGCUUACCAGGCAUGUAACAAUUCAACCAUUAAUUAUUAUUGUGUUGCCAGACUUCACAUUUGACGUAUAUAGUAAAUCAUUAAAAACACUAAUACGUUGCAUGGUUGUUUCUAUUUAUUUGUUUAUUUCAGAUAGAAGGUGGCGUAGGUCGUGGACUUAACGUUUGGGAUGGCUUCACUCACCGAUAUCCAAGUUUGUCGUUUGCAUGGUUACAUAUGUAUAAUGUCUCUUAUAUGUUUCUAUACACUUAUAGUUAUGUAUUCAUUUACUAUCAGACAAGUCAGGGUCCGAUCAUGGAAAUGGAGACACUACUUGUGACUCAUAUUCGUAUUGGGAGGUAAAUUAUUCAAUAUAUACAUAUGAGUCAUAUGAUAUGACUUAUAUAUAUAUAUAUAUAUACUAUAUAUAAAAUAUUUAAAAAUAUUAUAUAUAAAUAAAAUUUUCUAUUUUUAUAUCAAUACCAUUAAAACAAGAUCAUUCCUAACUUAUACCUAUUAAUGAAAAUUGUAUUUUUUCUCAAAAAUACCCUUAUUUUUACAAGAGAUUAAUAAAAUUCAUUAAUGGUAUUUAAGUCUUUUGGUUUUGGGUAUACAUAUACACCUAAAUGGAUCUAUAAAUAAUGUGCCUAUAUAUAUAUUUAAAAGAUAUACUAACUUUAAAUUUAAUAUAAGUAUAAAUAUAUUAUGAACUAUAAAUAAACUAACGAACAUAAAAAUAUUAUUUUCUUAAAUAUACGUAUCAAUAUUCAAAAUGAGAUCAUUUGAAUAUUAUAAAUAUUUUCAAUACAAACCAAAAUCAUAUAUCUUACACCAUGUAUCAUAUACAUAUUUGAAUAUCGUUUUUCCAUGUAUAAUGUUAUAUUAAGAGUGUUCAACAAUAUUUUAAAAACUAUCUUAAAAUCAAAAUUUAAAUCUAAAAUAAAAACACAAACAUAUAUAGGUUAUUAAUAACAGAAAUAAACUAAUAUUGUCAUAUUAAUAAGAUUUUUUAUAUUAUCAUUUUUUAUUUGGAUAACAUAAUAAAAUUUCAUCAAAUUCUAAGGAAUCACUAAUUUAUGUAAUAUUAAAAAAUAUAUGAGUAAUUUAAUCAUUUGAAAAAAAAAUACUAUCAGAUAUUUUGUGUUUUAUCGGAUCAAUGGUAUCGGAUCGCAGGUUAAUAGUGAGUUUUUGGGUUUUUUACCUGGUGAUAUCAGAUUUUUAAUUAACUAAUUUUUCAUUAAAUCUGAACCGGAUUACAUACAAUGUAUCGGGUCUAUAGGUUCAACCACGAAUCUAAGCCGGAUAUGAAAACAAAUCUUAAAACUCAAACAUUAUUAUAGAACAACUACCAUAUUUCGAACAAAUACCAUAUUUUAAAGAAAAAAACCUAAAAACUCAAUUGUUAUAGUUCGAAACAAAAAAUAAUAAUAGUUUAUAAAUCAGUUUUCGAUUAAUAAAUGAAAAACAAACAAAACCCGCGUUUUCUAAGCGCGGGUCAAAAUCUAGUUUUACUUUUAUUAGUUUAAAAAAUAAAACCAUAAUGUAAUUGUUUUUAGUUUGAUUUAUUCAAGUUUACUUUGAUCUUUUAAUUUUUCAAUAUUUAACUUUUGAUAAAAAUAAUUGAAAAGUUACUUUAUUAUAUUAUUCUUUAUUUAAUUACCAUUUUUAAAUAUUUCUAUAUGUACACUUAUUUUAAUAAUAAAAAUAUGAUUCAUAUAUUGAUGUAAAAUUUUAAUAUUCGUAAUUAUUAUUUAGGACUUAUAUAUAAAAACAUAUUAUUUUAAUAGAUAUAGAAAAAUUAUUAGGUAUCAUAAAAUGAAUAUUUACUAAGAAAAAAUAUUUUUGAUAUAAAAUUUAUUAGUUAUUACUAUAUUAUGAAACUUAUUAGGUAUCGUAAAAACAUAUAGAAAUUAUGAAUACUUACCAAAAUGAAUAUUUACUGAGAAAAAAUAUUUUUGAUAUAAAAUUUAUUAGUUAUUACUAUAUUAUGAAACUUUUCCAAAAAUAUAAAUCCGUAUAUAGAAAAUCAUCAUUAUUAUAUUUAAGAAAUCUUACCAAAAACAUAAAUCUAAAUAUAGUAAAUUUUACAUGUCACAAUUAGAUUUAUGCCAUGUCAUAUUUCUUUUACGCCAUGUCAUAUUUUUUGUGAAAGUUAAUGUAGUGAUGACACAUAUACAAAAUCACUUCUCAAAUUUAGUCUAGGGUAUAUAUAUAUAUGCUAACUAAUAUUACUCACUGAAUAAUCUACCAGCUACGUGUGGAAUGACAUGCGAUUGUAUAUAUAAACUGCAGAAAGAUAUAGAGGCGCUGGUCGAACUCAAUGCUACUGGCUACAGAUUUUCCAUUGCGUGGUCAAGAAUCAUUCCAAGUAUGUAAACAUUAUAGAUCCAUGUAUAUAAUAUACAUGUAUGUAUAUAUAUAUAUCGUAAUCUUCGAUUGUGAUUAUUUAGAAAAAGUAAAUAUAGUGUACAUUUAUAUGAACAGGAGGAAAGAGGAGCAGGGGUGUAAACCAAGAAGGUGUUAACUACUACCGCGGACUCAUAAAUCGCCUCGUUGAGAAGGGCAUAACUCCUUUUGUUACGCUCUUUCACUGGGACCUUCCUCAAGCACUACAAGAUGAGUAUGAAGGUUUCUUGGACCCCCAGAUAAUGUAUGCGGAGCUGUUUAUUAAAGAUGACAACAUAUAAAGAUUUGUUCUAGGACUAAUGAAAUGACAAUUAUGUAAUAUUCGCAGAAAUGAUUUCAAAGAUUACGCAGAUCUAUGUUUCCAAGAAUUUGGUGCUAAUGUAACGAACUGGAUCACGAUUAACCAGCUCUACACAGUGCCUACUAGAGGCUAUGGAUUUGGAUCAGAUGCACCCGGUCGAUGUUCUCGAGCUCUUGACCCUACAUGUUACGCCGGAAAUUCUUCAACUGAACCCUAUAUUGUUGCACAUCACCAGCUUCUGGCUCAUGCCACGGUGGUCGAUCUUUAUAGGAAAAAUUAUAAGGUGAUUUCUCCAUUAAUUUGUAUAAUGUGUAAUCUAUGAUUUAAUCAUAUUAUUGUGUAUAUAAUAUCUGCAUGACCACAGCAUCAAGGAGGUAAGAUUGGACCUGUGAUGAUAACUAGAUGGUUUCUUCCGUAUGAUAACAAUGAUCCAGAAAGCAAAGCUGCAACCGAGAGGAUGAAAGAAUUCUUCUUGGGAUGGUAUAUGUUUACAAAAUGAAAUAAUUUUAUUAGUAUUAUCUUAUGUAUAUACAAAUUGAUGAAAAAACAUAUGUAUCCACAUCAGGUUCAUGGGGCCGCUAACAAACGGAGCAUACCCUCAAAUCAUGAUAGACACUGUGGGUAAACGGCUUCCAUCGUUCACUCCAGAAGAAUCCAAACUCGUAAAGGGUUCAUAUGAUUUUCUUGGUCUCAACUAUUAUGUCACUCAGUAUGUCCAGCCAAGUCCUAAUCAUGUUGAUUGGGCUAAUCACACUGCCAUGAUGGACGCAGGCGUAACACUCACAUGUACCACUCCAUAUAAUUUCAUUUAUUUACAACCUUCCUUUUAAGUACUUUGUGACCAUUAAUUAUAUCAUCUUUGUGUUUACAGAUCGUGAUAUAAAUGGUCAUGACAUUGGUCCACUGGUAUUUAUGCAUAUGAUCCAUACACCCAUAUUCUUUCAUUUAUUUUGAAGCAAUGUUCAGUUUUCUGAUUGCUUUUGUUUGCUUUCAUUUCUAAGUUCACUGAAGACAAAGUUGAUGCGGCCAAAAACACCUAUUACUACCCAGAAGGCAUUUCUUACGUAAUGGACUAUUUCAAAACCAAGUAUUAUAACCCGUUAAUCUAUGUAACCGAGAAUGGUAAGUUCUAUUGUUUAUCUCUAAAUUCAUCUAUACAUGUGAUUUAAAUUUGGUUCAAGAAAUUGACACAAAAAUAUUGUGGAAUUUUUCAUGAUAUGACGAUUUAAUUAGGAUUCAGUACCCCGGGUGAUGAACCCCGUGAGGCCGCUAAGUUAGAUUGCAAGCGGAUUGAUUAUCUCUGCAGUCAUCUCUAUUUUCUCAGUAAAGUAAUCAAGUGAGUUGAUGCUACUCUCAUUCCAGUGUUAUAUAUCAAGUAAUCAAGCGGAUUGUACUCUCAUUCACUGGUCCUGCUUUUAGGGAGAACCAUGUCAACGUAAAAGGAUACUUUGCGUGGUCUCUUGGGGAUAAUUAUGAAUUCUGCAAAGGAUUUACCGUCAGAUUCGGACUCAGUUACAUUGAUUGGAAUAAUAUCACUGAUAGAGACCUCAAACAGUCUGGCAAAUGGUAUAAGAAGUUCAUUAUCACCAAGGACCUUCCCAAGAAAGAUUUUCUCCGCUCCAGCCUCACCUUCGAGAAGAAGAAGAAGUUCGCAGAUGCAUGAAAUACCCAUUAUCAAGAUCAUCUUCAUGUCUCCUCAUACUACUUGCUCCAUAGAUAAGGAGCUUUUUCUACCUACUGUACUAAAUAAAAGUUCCCAAUAAAAGAAGAUGAUCCAUAUUAAUAAAUACUACUUUGCAUACUAUGUCAAGGAAUGGACAAAAGAACCCAACCAAACUUAAUUUAAGGCUCAAACUAAAACCAAAAUUGAUAAGUAUUUAUACACUAAAUAUUUUGGGGCAGUUUCCAAAAAUAAUCCAAAAUGAAUUUGAAUGCAAAUCUAAAUUUUAAAUUCAAUCAAAUGCAAAAUAUCUGAUAUUCUUAAAAAAGGUUCUAAAAAACAAAAAAAAUAAAUAAAUAAAGGAUAAAACAAGAGGAACCGCUCCCUAAAAUAGGGCUUUUGGAAUUGAUAAGAACCUAUACGUGCCCUCUUGGUAUUGGUCGCCUCUCUUGGUCAUGCUUUUUGUUUUCUUUCUCAAAAAAUUUGUCGUCGUUCCUCGUUGUUGUUGAUCUUCAUGAAAUGGUCGUGCGUGAUGGAUCGACGAAUCUGGGUUUCCAAGAGCGUUCUGCAACUCUCGUUCAGCCAUGUCUGAUUUCUGCUGAUUUGGAUCUUUGAUCCUUGAGUUUUUAACAAAUUACGGUUUGACCCCAAAAACUUCUGUUUGUUAUAGAAAAGUCCUCAAAACUGUCCUAAAACUUCAAAUUGUGUUUUCCAGCCCUCUCUUUAUGAAAUAUGUACAAAUGCAACAUCUAAUGACACCUAAAUGCAACUUCUAAACAUUAAAAUUGAUCAAAAUUAAUAGCUAAAAACAUAUGAAAACACUAUACAUUAGUUGCUCUCUUUCUCCAAAACCGUCUAUGAAAUCAAGGUGAAAAUUCGAAUUCUUUGAGUCCGUGAUAAGACAAUACAUUAUGUUUUUUGUUACAAAAUGGUUAGUUGAGACUCUAAUGACAUUCUUGAUCUUUUGUUACACAAUUGUGACUCUUGUUUGUUACUGAACUUGCAGAUUUGUUGUAUGUCUUCUCCAACUUGUCUCGGAAUGUUAACUUCAUUGAACAUAUGAAGCUCACCGGAAUGUUAAAUUCGUUAUAUAAAUUUGUAUUUCUAUUUUUCAUAUGUUUUAUGCCAUAUUUGUUUAAAUGUUAUAAAAUCCAAUAAUUUAUAAGUUUUGUAAUAUUUAAAUUUAAUUUCAAAAAAAAAAAAGUUAAAAACCUCGUAGGGAUUCUUCCAUUGGACCUUCACACAACUAAUUACAUUAAUAUGAGUUUUAAACUUCAUAAAGUACAUAAUUAGCUAUUAAAUUAAUUUUAAGAAUCCAUUAAGGACUCUAACCAAUGGAGGUGGUCUUAAAGGACGAUAAAAUUACAACUGUUCUUUUAUGAUUAAACAAAACAAAAUUUUUUAUGAUUAAAAGAAAUAAAACUGUAGAAAAUUUUACGGUUAUAACCCUGAAAAAACUUCUCAAAAAGUCUAGGAAUAUACUUCUUGAGAAGUCUAUGAAAACACUUUUCGAGAAGUCUAUUCAUAUAUUUAAACUUGAAUUUAUAAAUAUUUUGCUGCUGUUUCAUUUUGUCCUGACUUAAGGUCAUAUGAACUUUCUUUUGCAGUAAACUAUGUAAUCCUUGUGUAGUGAACCAUGUUUAUAUUGGAAUUUUUCUAUUUGUGUAUUCUAAUAAUUUAGUUAAAACAAAUGUUCCAAUUUCUGGUUUGACCAACAACUAACGACAUAUCCACGAACAACACACCUUACGAAACAAUAGUCUGACCAAAUGAUACCAAAUAAAGAGAUGAAGAAGAGAUACAAAAAAGCUGUGACGUUUUCAUCAUAAAUGAAUCGCUGCGUGUUAGACAUAACGGCAAGCACACAUCUUUUAAUGGUGCUAUAGACGGAGGGGAUGAUUCAUUAAAAAAGAUUAUUUGUGGGGGGGGGGAGGGAAGGGAAGGGUUUGUACGGUAAAUCUUUAAUUGAGGGGUUUUUAUCCGAAAUAAACUUAAUUGAAGAGUUUUUGCAUUAAAAAUCCUAUAAUUAAUUGGGUUGAUUGUAACUUAUUUUAGCCGUUGAAUUUAAAAUAUCUUACACAAAUAAAUAAGCCAAAAUUUAGGCAAACAAUUAGCAGUCUAGAAGUCAAGUAGUACAUCACAUUGAUGGCCCUCUAUGUUAUGAUUUGUUUUUUUUUUAAUUGUGUGGGGGUUAUUUUUCUUUUAGGCAAGCUUUUGGGUCUCUGUCUAGUGUCUACCAUAUUUAUACAAUACUCAACUCUAUAUCUACGAUCUAUAUAUGUUACUCUUUAAAAAAGUUGAAGAGGGGUUUUUAUCCGAAAUAAACUUAAUUGAAGAGUUUUUGCAUUAAAAAUCCUAUAAUUAAUUGGGUUGAUUGUAACUUAUUUUAGCCGUUGAAUUUAAAAUAUCUUACACAAAUAAAUAAGCCAAAAUUUAGGCAAACAAUUAGCAGUCUAGAAGUCAAGUAGUACAUCACAUUGAUGGCCCUCUAUGUUAUGAUUUGUUUUUUUUUUUAAUUGUGUGGGGGUUAUUUUUCUUUUAGGCAAGCUUUUGGGUCUCUGUCUAGUGUCUACCAUAUUUAUACAAUACUCAACUCUAUAUCUACGAUCUAUAUAUGUUACUCUUUAAAAAAGUUGAAGAGGAAGCUAAUAUCCAUAUAUUUAAUUUAUGCAAUAUACCAACUGUGUGAAUAUAUAUUUAUAUGUAUGCACAUUCCUCUAUUCUACCGUAAUGACUUCAAAACUCUACUUUAUUUUCAAAAUAUAUAAUCUAUACAAUACUAAAAGGACUUGAGGGUCAUCAGCUAGCUAUGCCACAUAGGCAAAAAAUUCAUGGCCAAUUAAAUUGACAUCUCAGCUUUAAAAUCCAUGUCAUCCAACGAAAAGAAAAAAACCUACAAUUCAAUCGGCGAUUAUGAAUCGUUUCUUCACCCUCUUUCAUCAGUUCAGCCAUUAUAACUCCUUCAAAACAUACAAACCGACGAUAUGAAUCCACUCUCUUAUUCUAUAUAAGCCAAUGACGAUCCAAGUCCAUAAGUCCAAACUCACAGGUUUUGUUUCUUUAGCGUAUAUGUUUUCUGUAUUUAUACACAGGCUCAGUAUGUUAAUUAAUCAUCUCAUCGAAAGAGGAGCUCAGUGUAAGUAACAUUUAACAUCGCAUGCUUUGGAUACUACAAUGUAACAAGGCGUUCGUUGAUGUGGUUAAUCAGCUCGGUAGAUGUGAACGUGUGUAAGCUUUCUUCUCUUUGUUCUUGAAAAGUUAACAUCUCUUGGCUUCCUUAAAAAAUAAAAAAUUUGCUGGUUUGUUAACGAAAUUUAACAAUCAUUUAGAUCGUCUAGCUGAUGGAACUCAAGAUAGCGAUGGUAAAGGAUAAUAAAACUCAAAGACUGUUUAUCCUCGGAUGGAUAUGUUCCCAUAUGUGUCUUAGGGCGAAAGAUGGAUCUCUAUUCAGUAUACUCCUCUAUACUUAUGUUUUGAUUUUCAAAGUAUUGAAUUUUUUUGUGUUUUCUCCACUCAUCUCCUAAUGUUGUUGUCAUCUCUUCUUACCACAGAGGAGAUCCUGGAUAACUGGUCUAGGUCAGAAGAUAUUCAGUCAUAACGGUCUCUGGAUCGCUUCUUUGUGAUUCAUGGUAUGUGAUGUUUCUCAUAUAGUUAGUUUCACCAUUUGCAUUUUUUUUUUUUUUUGGAACAACCAUUUGCAUUUUAAAACUGAUAUUUUCUGUUGCAACAUCAAAUAUAUUUGAUUCAUUUGGUGAGCAGAUUCCAAUUCUGUCAUACGUGUAUCUGAGAGUGAAGGAGAUAUGAGCAGAACUGGACAUAGAAAGGUCUCUGACAAACAAAAAGGAGAUAUGUCUAACGGGGAGUGUAGACCAUCACUAGAUGGAGAUUAGACCCCGAAUAGUCAAUUUGCAACUCAGAGUGGUGACCAAGACUGUCCUGGUAAGACGGUUUGAAUUAAAAAAAAUGUAUGUAACAGUGAAUCGAUCUUGAGAAUGGAAGAUCGUAAGAGACGUACAAAAUAAUUUCUUUUGAACUUCCAUAAGUCUCAUUUCUUUGUCAUGAAUGCAUAGUCUAGUGAGCUACGUUGGUCAAAGAAAUGCUAUGUGGUCGCAUGUACAAAUUUAGAUGAAAACAAGAUUAUUUGGAAAAAGGAGGAGGCUUUGAUGAUCCUUACAUUGAUUUCAGUUGUGCGAACAUUGCUUCUAAGUUCACUGCGAAAAGCACAAGGCAGUGUAGAAGAAGGUUUGGUUACAAUGAUGUAUUUCUGGGUUUUAUUUUAACGCCUAAAAUGAGUUUUUAUUUUAUUUUGCAGAUGGUGUACAUAUACCUUACGACUAUGAUCCUCUGAAGAAGAUGCACUUCUGUGUGUGGUUAGAUAUUUUUAAUCACAUACGUUUAUAGAGUUGGCACCCGAAGAAGAUGCAUGCUACACCAGUUUCUUAAGUUCGGCUUUCAUUGAGGUUUGAUUACCUUUUUCCUGGAUGCAUCAUGUUUGUUGUUAUAUUGACAUCAUCUUGAUAGAUGUCUUAGCUUAGAAACACUGAUCUGAGAAGUCUAUUACAGAUGGCUCGACCAAUAAAGACUAAAUUUGUGUAAGUAAGAAAAGCUCAGUCCACACCAGAAAUUUGAAGAUGCUAGAGUCUAAGGUAUCUCUAUAAUCUAAUGUCUAAUAUUAUAAUUAAAUUAAUUUCUUCUGAUUUUCUUAUUACAGUUAUCAUCCCUAUAAUUGUUCAUAUUGAGCUGUUGCAAAUAUGAAUAUUUUCAGUUGAUUUUUUUGUUCUGAUGGCUUAAACGAUCAUCUCCAACAAUCCCGUUGUCAUUCAUGUCCUUUCACGUUCUCUUUUCUGUUUUGAAAUUAGUCCUGCAAAUUCAAGGUAAUAUCAGUAGUGGUAUAGCUUUGCAGAAUCUUUGGAAAACAUGUUCUCUUAUACUGUGUUGCAGUUCUUAGUCUACAUUGAUUCAUUAGCUUCUUAUAAAGUUGCUUGGUACUGUUAUGAGAAAAAAAAUUGAUUUUAGAAAUUUCAAAUCUAGCAAAGUAACGGAAAGAAUAUGAUUGGGACCCUGUUUCUUAAUACUCCAAGAGAAUCCCGGUGUUCAGAUCGCAUACCGGUUUGUGAAAUAUUUACAGUAGAAUUUGGUACGAAGAGUCUGAACAAAGGUAAAUUCAGGAAGGGUAUUCUUGCGCAGCUACAUGAUUUGUUGAAGAUUGCCUCUACAAAAGCAUAGUUUUAACUACGAUUAUUACCGUUCUUUUUGAGAACGAAAUAUAUGAUUUGGAAAAGUACUUUUUUUUUCUUCAUUGUAUAGCUAUAUGUUUUUUUUAGCAUUAGCCAUCAUGAUACAUAUAUAAAGAUACUUUAAUGUUAUCAGAUGAGAUCAGUUUACAUAUGGAGUUAAAAUCUUAGUGGCUGCUAUUGAACUCUCCUAUAGUCCUAUUGACACUCAACCUUCCACUGAAUCCAACUAUGACAGCUGCAAAAUCCAACUGAUUUCUCCCAAAGAAGAAAAAGAUGACGAUGAGGUCUCAUAACUUGAUCAAUAACUAUUUAUGCUUAUAAUAAUGAGUAAUGACUGUGUAUUAUUAGUGUGUAACAGGUUACGAGGUGAAGAAAGUUAAAGAAGAGUCAUUUUAUUAUCACAUAAGUCAACUUAAGACAACGAGUAACGACUCUAAAUGAUAUAAAUUCUGAAUAAUGAAGGGGAGAAAGAAAUAUAGAAAAGGAGAAAACUAAAAAUAAAAUUAAAAGUAAAGUUUUGUUUUGUUUUAAAUAGAGAAAAUAUUACCCUACAAUUAUUCUUUUUGGAGUAAAUAAGCCUAGCAUUAUUUUCACUUGAUUGGUUGAAAAUGAAGUAAUUUAGCUGAAAAUAUUUAUUCUAACUUAUAUACUUUAGGGAUGUUAUAAGAAAAAACGGUUGUCAAAAGAAAAGUUAUAAGAAAAAACAUUCAAUAUUUUUUCUAUCUGCAAAUUCUUUUAAUUUUAACUAAAAUUAAUAAAUAAAUUUAUAAUAUGUAAUCCGCGCGUAGCGCGGAAACGGACCUAGUAGAGUUAAUAGCUCUAGUUAAGGUGGUAGAUUAUAGUCUGAGCUACAUUCACUAUAGGUAUAAACAAAGGUGUUUUUUUUUUUGUGAGAGAGUAGUGAGUAUUAGUACUUGGGGAGUUUAGAAACAAAUUCAGACCCCAAAAGCCUAACAUCCAUCGAUAAUUUGUUGAUUUAACAAAGCUGUGAGUUCUCAUGGAAAAUAUAUAAGGACAUGUGUCAGUAAACUCCCUUUUCACUAAGAAAGAGAAAAAUCUCUACUUUAGUACAGAUAAAUUACUUUUCGAUUAGGAAUAUAGGUUACUAAAUAUUUAUUCUAAUGAUUUCUUUUAUAGCAAAGAUAUCUACAGAAUCAAGUCACUGCUCACCCAUGAGAUUGCAAAUCUAAGCUUUUGCGUUUUGCAUGGAUUAUAUUUACCGAGUUGGGUCAGGUGGGUGUGGCCCCUUUGACACGGCAUGGUCUUUCUCCCACCGAAAAAAAUAAUAAUGAGAGCGAAACAAAAGCAAAAGUACUAAGCUGGGUCAGGUCUCAGGUGGGAGUUGCCCUUAAAAUUUUCAAGACUUACAAAUGCGUACUGUACGUGCUAUCCUGUAUGUGUAUGCGUUCACAUCAUAUAUCAAAACUGUAUAUUGUAAUGCAUAUAGUUUUUUUUUUUGCAAAUUAUACUCUAAAUGGAUAUUAUUUUAAGUUUCUCAUCUAAAUCCAUUAUUUUUUUAAUAGAUAACUAAAAUAUCUAAUACAAGGAGAAUAAAUGAUUUGUAUGAUAAAAUAUAGAGAAAACACAAUAUAUAAUAGUAUAUAAAGACUACGAAUAUUCUUCUAGGUUUAAGUUAAUAUUUCAUCCGUUCCUGAAAUUAAGAUUUUUUAGAUUUUAUUCUUCUUCUACAAAAAUAAAUUUUUUAUACUUUUGAGAAAUAUUAAUUGUGAAUAUUUGAAAUUAUUAAAUUUUAUUGGUGAAUAGUUAUUGGAAAGUGUAUUGAAAAAUAAAUUGUAAAUUCAAUUGUAAACAUUUAUUAUAUUCUUAAUAAACAUGAAAACUCUAGAAAAUCUUACUUUCGGAAACAGAGAGGGAGUAGUAAAGAUAGAUAUUAACUUUGGAAACAAUCUAAACUUCAUUUAAAACAUGAUCAGAAAGUAUAAAAUAUAUUAUAUACGUUUCCAAAAUAAUCACACCGAAUUUUUCAUCAUUAAAUUGAUAUCCGCAAAUAUUUGGAUCAAUAACUAUAUUUUGAUUCAUAAUAUCUAUCAAGUAUAUAUUUUUGAAUAUGCUGAACUAGAUUCCCUAAAUAUUGGUGAUGCCUUUUUUAUAAGACAUAACAAUUUUUUUUUUGGACAAAACAUAUUUUUGGUUGUUAAUUAAAUAUGAAGAUAAAUAUUGAUCUUUGUAUAGGUUUAAGUUUAAUAAAAUAUUAAAAACUAGAGGGGAGCUAUAUGAAUAUUUUCACAAAAUAGUAGUUAGGUAAAUUAAAAAAUAAUCCACUAAAAUUAUAAAAAAGUUUAACUCUUCAAAAUUAACUAUAUGAGGAUAAAUUUACAAUUUUUUGAAUAAUUUAUAACAUCUAUGAAUAUUUUUAAGAUACAAAAACAAAAAUGUAUCUAUACUAUUAAACACAUAAUCUUAUAACUAAAAAAUACUUGUCUAUUUAAAAUAAGAAAAAAAUCUCGCACUUUGAAAGCGCGGGUUAAAAUCUAAUAUAUAUAUAGUUACAUUCACAUAUAUAUUAUCUAUUUUACGUGCAUGACAUGAAACAUUUAUAAAAACUUCUGUUUUCAUAUUAUAAAAUCUGAUUAUUGCUGAAUACAUUUUUAGUGGUCACAAUUUAUUUAGUAUUUAUUUUUUUCUCAAUUAAAAAUAAUUACCGUAUCAUAUCUAUCAAAUAACAAAUACAUCAAAAUCUUAGAAAAUCUCUAGAUCUAACAAGUGAAUUACUCAGAUAUUAUAGUAGAAACAUAAAUCAUAAUAUGAAAUAAGAAAAUGUAAGAAAUAUUGGAGGUUUAAUCAAUCUCCAAAAGAGGUCUGAUAUUCUCUCCAAAAACCUCUCUAAAAAAACUUAAACUAAAUAGUGGCUGUAAAAUAGAGAUAUAUAUAUAGGUUUAACACAUUCAUGGGUUUCUUGAAAGUUUCUCCGGUUUUGUCAAACCGCACUAGCGUUGAUCGACGCUCACAUCAUAUCUCGACUCUCAUCUCUGCAAAACUACAAGUUGUCUUCUCUUCAAGCUCCAUUUUACUCCAUAAUCUUCGAUGUACUCCAAAACACACCUAAACUUGUAAAUGAUCUAAAACAGACGCAAAGUACAUAAUAAAGACUCUAAAUAUGGCCUACAAUAUAUCCUAAUAGUGGUAAAUUCUGAGACCUAUCAACUUCCAUGUGAAUGGUGGGUGCAGUCCAUCUGAGUUAAACCACUUUCCAAGCAUCUUCGUCUAAUCCACGGAUUAUAUGUCUCAGACAAGCCUUCCAAUGACCAAAUUGUCUUCAUCCAACAUGUAGGGGCUCAGUAGAAUUACGAGUUCUCUCAUGGUUUCAAAGACUUCCAUAGGACCUCAACAUGUAUGUGGAUAGGAAAUCCAAGUGGCAACCUGCUAUGAUACCAAAUGAAAAGUUUAUACUAAGCAAAACCAGGAAGAACACAAGGGAUUAGAAGCCAUGUGUCUCUUAUUAUUAAGAAUCAGUUAAAUAAUCUUACACAUUUAUUUAAUCUGAAUUACUGAACGUUACACACGGCUUGAAACAAACCAAUUAUUAUUCUACCCUUUUGCGUGACAAUACCAGUUGAUCACGUUUCCAGUUCACUCACCUCUGAAACUCCAAAACCUUUUUAUGUCUCCAUGAGAAUACUAUGCCAAAAAUUUAACUUUUUCCCUAAGUCUAAGCUAUGAUAUAUAUGAUUUCAAUGUUUCUUAUAGUGCAAUAUACCUUUUCCUAAAAAAUAGCAUCACCACAUCUUCCAGUUUGUGAUAUGACUAUCUUCUAGUUCGUUAAUCACGUUCAAGAUGAACUAAUAAGAACUCCCUACAUCACACGCUUAAUAGUUCUUUCUGUCCACGUAGAUGUGGUACACAUCAUCUUCAUCUUCAUGUGUAACACAACAGAAACAUACCAGAUUUCACACUUUUGAAUAUGCACGAGUCAAAUUCCAAGGAACCAUGUCAACCAACACUCUUUCUGUGUCAUUUCACCAAGAUGUCAAGUUCCAAUUAAUUUCUUGAGGUUACAGAUAACCUCAGUAUGGUAAAGACUUUGAUAAGAAGAUUUUGUCUAAAGUUAUCUCAUUUCAAAAUCAGUUGGUUCGUCAAUUGUCUUUUCUUAUCAGUUGAUCUCUUUGACUCGGGACUAAAUGAUGCUGGAAUUCGUAUUCUUCCGUAGAACUUCCUGGUUAAUCUCAUAAAAGACAUCAAUCUAUGGCAGUAUAUUUCUAUUCUACAAAGAAAGAUAAAUCUCAUCUACGAUUACAUUUAUUAUUUAUCCACCUCAAAAUGUUACCGUGACCCUGAGCUCUGAUACUAAUUUUUAUGUUGAGAACCUUUGGCGGAUCUAAGAGGAUUUAUAGCUGGGGGUACUACCUUAGAAAUUGAAUAAGCUGGGGGCGCUAUCAUAUAAUUUGAGUUAGUUAGAAAGCAUUUGCAUAUAAUUGGUUAAAGAAAACAAAAAAUGAACCGGGGGCACGUACGUCCGCCACUGUUGAGAACAUCAAAAUGACCCUUACAAUCACAAAAUCGACCCACUAAACCCCUAGCUAACAAUCUCGCAUCUCUCGUUCAUGUUGGAUCAAUCAUGAGAAAGACAAUUUGUUGAGUUCUCAAGAUUAAACCGAUCAAAUGUACGCCUUGGCAGGGAUCUCUUCCUAGGAAGAUUUGAAUAGUUACGAAAAAAAGAGAAUCAAGAGAGAGAUAUUAUAAAGCUUCAGAAUAAAGAAAGCAAAACUGAAUAAGUUGAUUGACUUCUUCUUAUAACUCUAUUUCUAUUAGCUAGGAAAUAAUGUUGUUGGUGAACUUUAUUUAUCCAGCAUUGAAUUACUAAAAUAAAAAUAAAUAUAUUUUAGGAAAAAUAAAAUAAAAAUAUCAUUUGUCUUGCGGGUUUUUCAUAACUUUUGAAAUUCUUAAAUGAAUAACUUUGGAACAAAACUUAUGUUCAACCUUUAAAUUCACUUCUGUUUUCAGGACCAAUCAAAGUGACACGUAGAUAAUUAAUUAAAAAAUAUUAAAUUUAUUUAAAAAUAACUAAAAAAAAGAAUAACGUCAAUUUUAACGACGAUGAUGCCGCCAGCUAAAGCGUAAAUCCUAAAUCUUAAUUUAUAAACUCUAAACCUUAAAUUCUAAACCCAAACCCUAAACCCAAAUCAUAGACCUUAAAUCCAAAUUGUAUACCUUAAACCCAACUGUAAACCCUAAACCCAAACCACAAACUCUAAACCCAAACCAUAUAUCCUAAACCUAAAUCCUAGACUCCAAACCUUAUAGCGUCUAGGUUUAGGGUUUGGGUUUAGCGUUUACGGUUUGGGUUUUAAGUCUAAGAUGUGGGCUUAGCGUUUACGGUUUAGAUUUUAAGUCUAAGAUUUGGGUUUAAGGUAUACAACUUGGAUUUAGGGUCUAGGAUUUGGUUUAGGGUAUAUGAUUUGGAUUUAAGGUUUACGGUUUGGUUUUAAGGUCUAAGAUUUGAGUUUAGAGUAUACAAUUUGGGUUUAGGGUUUAAGAUUUGAGUUUAGGGUAUAGAGUUUGGGUUUAAGAUUUACGGUUUAAGGUUUAGAGUUGAGAAUUUAAGAUUUUGGGUUUACGGUUUAGCUGUCGGCGUCAGCGUUGUUAAAAUUAGCAUUAUUCUUUUUUAAUUACUUUUAAAUAAAUUUAAUAUUUUUAAUUAAUUAUCUACGUGACACUUUGAUUGGUCCUAGAAGGAGAAGUGAAUUUUAAGGUUCACCGUAGUUUUUGUUCAUAACUUUGAGCUAUAUCAUUAUUCAAGCUCUCUACUUUCUAGUUGCACUGGAGGAUUCUCAAAUCCUCUUAAAACUUGUGUAAACAAAAAGAACGAUUUGUGUUCAACAAAACAAAAAAACAAAAAGAACGACAACAACCAUUGCGCAGCGCAAGAUUCACUUAGUAAGGAGAAGAGAGUAAAGCUAUGAAUCUAAACCAAGUGGCUCCCACUGAGGAACUCUCUUGGUAAAGAACCUCCCAAUAACUCUGGAAUCAAGAAU
rnacentral:lncRNA from 1 species